GAAGUCAUUAAUGCAGCUGCUUCUCUAGCCAUGAAGGCUCACGAUUCCACUCGCGAGCCAUUUCUCCUCGAGAAACCCCGUGGCUUAUCCGUUGCUGUUGUUGCAUUUGCUGGAUCUUGGCUUCGCGAUGAUUGGUGUGCGGAGACACCUUUUGGAGAAACGACGAUAGAUGCUGGUACCUUUCCUUCGCUUAAAAGUUUAGGCGAUGACGGAGGCGCUCUGGUCAACGAGUCGUUUCUCCGGCGAUUCAAGGCAAUCUUAGGCCAAUCAUCACUUGCCAAAAAGGUACUUCAAUUCAACUUAUGCAUAGAUAUAUGAAAAACAAUCUUGUGAAUUCAAAAUGUGGAUGUUGGGGUUGGAUUUUUCAGGUAAUUGGAGAGAAGAAGCAAGUUGUUUUCACCGGCUACUCGUCGGGUGCUCCGGUGGCCAUCCUGGCAACUCUAUACUUCUUGGAGAAGUCAGAGCCCAAUCAGAGCCCACCCCGCUGCGUCACUUUCGGAUCCCCCCUCGUCGGUGAUCGGAUCUUCGGUCAUGCUGUCAGACGGGAGAAAUGGUCCGACCACUUCGUUCAUUUUGUUAUGAGAUACGAUGUGAUCCCUCGGAUUAUGCUUGCCCCUUCAUCCACUGAGCACAAACAAAUUCUCGAUUUCUUCAAUCCCAGAUCUGAAUUCUUCAGAAAACCCAUUGAUUCUCCUUUAGGUUUCUAUUCCAGCGUGAUGAGGAAUGCAUCCUUGGUUGCAAACUAUGAUGCCUGCAAUCUCAUGGGAUGCAGAAUCCCGGCGUUGGAAACUCUAAGGAACUUCAUUGAGCUCAGCCCUUAUAGACCUUUCGGAACUUACAUCUUCUGCACUGGAAAUGGAAAAUUGGUUGUCGUAAGGAACUCGAAUGCAGUAUUGCAGAUGCUGUUUUACUGUGCUCAGUGGACCCAAGAAGAAGCUGCAGGGGUUGCACAAAGAAGCCUAUCUGAACACUUGGCUUACAAAGAUGAAAUACAAGAGAGCUUAGGAAUGCAGAAUGUAGUCUAUCUAGAUCGUCUGGAAGAGAUUCCAGUGUCUUCAGAUGGCAGUCCAGCCACAGUCAACACGGCCUUGAAUGACCUCGGCCUGGUGAGCCUUCUUCCUUUCUUCUUAAUUACCUUACUGCCAAACUACAGAAUUUUAGCUUCCAUGUCUGUAAAUCUCAACUGAUGUUCUAGUGUUAUGGAUUGCAGAGCCCACAAGGCAGGCUAUGCCUUCAAGCUGCAGGAGAGUUGGAGAAGCGAAAGUCAAGAAAUCAGGAUAAGAUCAUUAAUGAUUAUAAGCAAAAGAUUGAAGGUGAAUUAAGAAAGAUGAGAAAGUACAAGGAAAAGGCUGAGACUUGCGGACUGGGCUACUAUGAUUCCUUUAAGCUCAACAAAUACGAAGAGGACUUUCGGGCUAAUGUGAGCAGGCUUGUGCUAGCUGGUUUCUGGGACGAGAUGAUGGAAAUGUUAAAAGCGUAUGAACUUCCGGAUGACUUUGAGAAGAGCCAUGACUUUAUACGACUUGGAACCGAUUAUCGCCGCACGGUUGAGCCUCUAGAUAUUGCCAACUUCUAUCGACACGCCAAGGAUGAAGAGACAGGGUUCUACAUGAAAAAGGGGACUCGACCAAAACGAUAUCGAUACAUCCAAAAUUGGCUCGAGCAUGCUGAAAAGAAGCCAUCUGGAUCCCGCUCAGAAUCCUGUUUCUGGGCUGAGGUAGAGGACCUCCGCAUUAAAACUAGAAGCUGUGGAUCCUCUCAAGAAAUUAAGCAGAAGGUUCAGCAACUGGAGAAAAAUCUAAUUAAAUGGAUUGAUGAUGAAUCUUUAGGCAAGGAUGUGUUGUUGAAGAAUUCCACCUUUGUUAUAUGGUGGAAAGGCCUUGGUCCUGAGUAUAAAUCAGAACCCGAAUCAUCUUGCAUUUCGAAACUCAUCGGUGGGUAAGAUUGAGAGGGCUUCAUACUGUCAUCUUGAGGCACUUGUUCAAAGCCAAUAACGGCAAUAACCCUGAAUGUAUGCAAAAUCCUGUUUCCUGUAUUAAUUAGUAUGCAAAAUCUUGUUUCCUGUAUUAAUCAGUAUGCAAAAUCCUGUUUCCUGUAUUAAUUAGUAUGCAAAAUCCUGUUUUCUGUAUUAGUAUGUAACGACUCAUUCCCAAUCGCAUAGAUAAUGUCACUGUGAUAUCCAGGGUCUCAGGUCCAACUAUGUGAAAAUCAAGAAUGCAAAUGACUAGAUAUCAAGGGGUAAUGCUCAUAAUACUUUCAUACAAACAAGUUAGAAUUGUGUAAGUUCUACAGACGAUUAUUCAAGCAGUUGUACUUCAACACAGAUGAAGUUUGUGAUUUGAAGUUACAACUAUCUGAUAAUAAAGAAGAUGAGAAGGCAUAUUUCUUAAGAAAAUGGUCAUGAUAGCAUUUGGCAGAGAGGAGCAUACUAAUACAAAAGAUUGAAAAUGGGUUGAUAAAUUAACAGGCAGAUGGACGCUUGAUGUGCAUAUUCCUUGGCCGAUCAAUAUGUAUAUGAAAAUACUGUGACAAAGACCUAGUUAGCUCCACAAUGAAAAAAGAAGCCCUUGCCAUAUGACGACAGAGGCCCUGUCAUAGACUCACAGGUCAACUACAACCAGUUCCUUCCUAGCUGUCAGAACUUUCCUUAUUGUGCAAGAAAGAAUAAGCGUGAUAUUCUGAUGCUCCCUUACUAAUUUACUACUGAACACAAAUCAACAAGCCAUCCCUUUAAGGACAUAUCUAUAAGUUCCAUCUGGAAAGGACCUCUCCAAUGGUUACAUAUAUCUUUCUUUAUAGGCCACUAAAUGAAGCCCUUUUCCAUAACCCAAUACAACCCAGUCGGAACAUAUCAUCCUCAAAAGUGAGAAAUCAUCGACACCAUAAGGGUGCAUUUGGGAUAUGGGAAUCGGAAAGGAAAUAGGAUGGGAAUGAAGGUGAAUCACGUUAUCAUGUAGAAGAGAGGAAUCAAAAUCCUAGUGAAAGUAGUGUUAAGAUAUGGACUCACAUAUCUAACAAUAGUUCAUGACUAAACUAUUCACCUCUUUUCAGUAUUUGUUUUCUGUUCGUUCAAGAGUAUGGGCCACCUAUGUGUAGAGCCCAAUGCCUUCACGGGCCUUAGAUGAUGGGCCUAAGACUCGUGAGACCCAAAAGCCCAAUGGGUAUGGUCCCUAAGGCAGGAGGGUAUAAAAGGUCAAGGGUCUGUUCAUUUUGGUAACAAUCACAUCAGUUUUGGAAUUAGAACAGACCCGUUUCUCUUCGACUCCCAUCGUCUGAGAGAAUUCAGAAAGAGGUGGUGCCCUCCACAGCCUUAGAAGAUCCAUACCGUAUUCAUCGCCGGAAAACAAUGGACUCAGGUAUGUUCUUAGACAACAGUGGAAGGCAUAAUUUGAAUGCUUGGUAUACAUAUAUAUCCUGUUUUUUUUUUUUUUUUUUUUUUUUGUGUUUUGGGUGAUAAUGGAAAUCAAGAAUAAUAACAAAUGGUAUCAAAGCCUCCCAUUUUCACCAAAACACUCUUUAAAACACAAACAUCAGACCCAAAGCAAAAGACGUUGGACUCAGGUGUUGUUUCGGGCAAUGGGAGUAGCGUUAGGGCGCUGCAACGCGUCAUUAGGAAUCAAAAUAGCGCCAUUCCGACGCUGUUCAUUUUGUCGGCGUCCUUUGCGCCGUUUUGACGUCGUUGAGAUGCCACUGCAGGCGUCGUCAGCCCGACGUCGCCACGACGUCGGUUGGAGGAGGAUUGAGACGCCGGUUUGGCGUCAUUCUCUAAUUAAGAACGCUGUUCAGGCGAUGGAAAAUGACUACGAUGCCGUUUAGGCAUCGUUUCUCAGUCAGCUGCUCGUGAUUUAGGCGUCAUUUUUUUGGCGUUCCAGACGCCGUCCAAGCGCCAAUGAGGAGCGCCAAAAUUAGGGCGUUGUUGCAGGCUACUCAGUAACGUCGUUAUUGCAUUUUUCUAGUGAUGGCACCACUGAUGACGCCGCUGCCGGCAUCCCAUAGUAAAAUGUCUAUUUUUGGUACGCCGUUUUGGUGGCACUGAAGCACCAUUUUCAGGCGCGGUUGGAGGGGCUGCUGGCGUCUGUUACAGGCGCCAUUAAGGCGUUUGUUACAAGCACCAUUCAAACGUCGUCCAGGCGUAGUCUGAUGGCAUCGUUCGUAGAUGGCUCCGGGGCUGCUGUCAGUUGGAUGCAAAAAUGAUCCCUUUUUACAACGUUUGAAAUUCCAUGUUUUUUUAAAAUUUUUUUUAUAUGUAUAUGCUUUUAAAAUUAUGCCAUAAUGAAGAUGGAAUAAUUUGAGAGAGUCUAUAUUCUUUUUUUGUGUUGUGGGAAAUUUUAUAUGUAUAUGCUUUUAAAAUUAUGCCAUAAUGAAGAUGGAAUAAUUUAAGAGAGUCUAUAUUCCUUUUUUGUGCGUUAGGAAAUUUAUAUGUAUGUGUUGCAUGUGAAAUAAUUAGGUAUCAUUCAAUGUCUUAUGAAUCAUGCAUAAAAUGGGUUUGUGGAUAAAUUUUUGAUUGAAUUAUUGCUUGCUAUAUUUAUGUUUAAUAUUAUAAAAUAAAUGAAUUAUGUAUACUUGUUGCCAAAGUAACUUGUAUUAGAUAAUUUUAUUUACUUUGAAAUGUGUAAGCAUGUUAUUAUUGUAUAAAAUAAUCAACCCAAAGGAGGAUUAUUUUUAUAUAAUAAUAAAUAAAGUAAUCAUGAAUAUGUGACAUACAAGGUUUAUCUUGCAUUCGAUAUGUUAGUCCAAAGACAAACAUAUUGUUUUCGGUUUUUUUUUUAUUGUCAAUAUUUAUGAAUUAAUUUAAGGAUGCUACUUACAAGUUGAUAUUUCCGUCCAAAGACUGAAUAUUGAUGUUUGUGCUAGGUAUCUUGUUGUAUGUCCACAUGCAUAUAUAUGUUUAAAUUUUAUUUAUUCAUGUACGUGUGAUGUUUAUAUGACUGAUUGUGAGCUUCAUUGUUAUUUCAACAUCUUCUAUAUCUGCAAAUGUCAAUAACAUUCCUGUGCUUAAUGGCAUAAACUUCAAGAAAUGGAAGGAGCACGUUAUAAUUGUGCUCAGGUGAAUAGAUUUAGACUAUGCAUUAAGAGUGGAUCGCCCUUCAGAUCUUACUAGUGCUAGCACUGCUGAGCAAAGGUCUGCUAUGGAAAAAUGGGAGUAAUCCAAUCGUAUGAGUCUAAUGAUUAUGAAGCACUCAAUUCCAGAAGCUAUAAGGGGUGCAAUACCUGAGGAAACCCAAGCCAAGGCAUUCUUGGACCAAAUAGCAAACCGAUUUGCUGCAAACGAAAAGGUUGAGACAAGCACUAUUCUUAGUAAGCUUGUCUCUAUGCGGUAUAAAGGGAAAAAGAAUAUAAGGGAGUACAUUAUGGAAAUGUCUAAUCUUGUGACUAGACUCAAGGCACUAAAGUUAGAGUUGUCGGAAGACAUACUCGUGCACUUGGUCUUGAUCUCUCUGCCUACACAAUUCAGUCCAUUCAAAAUCAGUUACAACACUCAAAAUGAGAAAUGAACUUUGAAUGAGCUUAUUGCUCAAUGUGUACAAGAGGAAGAGAGAUUGAAACAAGAGAAGAUAGAGAGUGCUCACUUGGCUUCCACGUCUUAGGGAUUUGGUACCAACAAGAAAAGAAAGAGGGACAAUAAAGGAAAACAAACUACAGUUUCUGAGACAUCAAAGCAGAAGGUGCAGAAGAAACAAGAUAAGGAGAUCACUUGUUUCUUUUUCAAAAAGACUGGUCAUAUGAAGAACACAUGUACCAAAUACGCAGCUUGGCGUGAAAAGAAAGGCACACUUCUCAACUUUGUUUGUUCAGAAAUUAAUUUAGCUGUAGUGCCUACUGACACUUGGUGGAUAGAUACAGGUGCAACUACUCAAAUAAGUGUCACUAUGCAGGGUUGCCUAAGGAGUUGAAUGUCAACUGAUGGUGAAAGAUACAUCUAUGUGGGAAAUGGAAACAAGGUUGCAGUCAAGGCUAUUGGUCUUUUUAGACUACAGUUGGACUCUGGAUGUACUUUGGAUUUGGAAGAGACUUUUGUUGUACCGUUGUUUAGACGGAAUUUAAUUUCUAUUUCAUGUCUGGACAAAUUUGGAUAUUGUUGUUCAUUUGGAAAUGGAAUGGUUAGUCUUUAUCUAAAUUCAAAGGUUAUUGGUACAGGUAGUCUAAUAGACAAAUUAUACAAAUUGAACAUAAAGGCCACUAAUGGAAAUGAAACCUUGCAUUCAAGUAAUUAUGACAUUAAGUGAAAAUUAAUAAAUGAGAAUUCAUCAAUGUUAUGGCACAAACGUUUGGGUCACAUUUCAAAUCAACGGAUUCAAAGGCUUGUGUCAGAAGGAAUUCUUGAUCCACUUGAUUCCUCAUACUUUCAAGUCUGUAUAGAGUGCAUUAAAGGUAAACAAACAAAUAUGAGGAAAAAUGAUGCCAAUAGGUGCAGUGACGUCUUGGAAUUGAUACAUACGGACAUUUGUGGUCCAUUCCCUACAACUUCUUGGAAUGGACAACAAUAUUUUAUCACUUUCAUUGACGAUUACUCGCGUUAUGACUAUCUUUAUUUGAUUCAUGAGAAAUCUCAAUCAUUGGAUGUGUUCAAGAAUUUUAAAGCUGAAGUUGAGAACCAACUAAGCAAGAAAAUAAAGGUCGUCAGAUCUGAUCCUAGAGGUGAAUACUAUGGUAGAUAUGACGGAUCAGGUGAACAAUGUCCAGGGCCAUUCGCCAAAUAUUUGAUGGACUGUGGAAUCGUUCCUCAGUACAUCAUGCCAGGGACUCCAAGCCAAAAUGGUGUAGCAGAGAGGCGAAACCAUACUCUUAAGGAUAUGGUAAGAAGUAUGAUAAGUCAUUCCAUCUUACCAGAAUCACUUUGGGGCGAAGCUAUCAAAACUGCAGUUUACAUUUUGAAUAGAGUACCAAGCAAAGCAGUAGCCAAAACCCCAUAUGAGUUAUGGACUAGCAAGAAGCCUAGGAUUAGGCACUUGCAUGUUUGGGGUUGUCCAGCUAAAGCUAGGCCUUAUAAGCCAAAUGAAAAGAAAUUGGACUCCAGAACAGUGAGCUGCUAUUUUGUAAAGUAUUCUGAAAGGUCAAGAGGUUUCAAAUUUUAUGACCCCUCAUCUAGAUCCUUCUUUGAAACGGGUAAUGCUAAGUUCAUUGAGGAUGUUGAGUUAAGUGGGAGAGAAUCAUUAAGAAAUGUCGUUUUUGAAGAGGAAUCUAUUAGUAUUCCUACGACUGGACAUGGUCAUAUUAUGUUUGAUGACACUAUUUAGAAUGUACAGUCGAUAACAAAAAUUCAAGACACACCUGAAAUUCCUCCUACUCAAGUUAUGGAACCGAUUCAAGUUCAUCAAGAGGUAACUCAACAACCUCAAGUACAAGUGCCACUGAGGAGAUCCACUAGAGAAAGGAGAAGUAAAAUUUAAGAUGAUUAUGUUGUAUAUCUCCAAGAACAUGAGUUUGACAUGGGUCUGAAAGACGAUCCAAUUUCAAUUAGUUAAGUCAAACAAAGUUCUAACUCUGAAAAGCGGAUAGAAGUCAUGAAGGAAGAGAUGAAAUCAAUGAAAGACAAUGGUGUUUGGGACCUAGUAGAGUUGCCUGAAGGUAUAAAACCGAUUGGUUGUAAAUGGAUUUUUAAAACCAAAUGGGAUUCAAAAGGUAACAUUGCUAGGUAUAAGGCACGCCUAGUCGCAAAAGGUUUCACUCAAAAGGAAGACAUUGAUUAUAAGGAGACCUUUUCACCGGUUUCGUCAAAUGACUCCUUUAGAAUCAUCAUGGCACUUGUAGCUCAUUAUGUUUUAGAGCUACAUCAAAUGGACGUUAAAACUGCGUUUCUUAAUGGUAACAUUGAUGAAACAAUAUACAUGGUGCAAUAGGAGAACUCUGAGUCUAAUGAUUCAAAGCAACUUGUAUGCAGAUUAAAAAGGUUCAUAUAUGGUUUAAAGCAAGCAUCCUGACAGUGGUACCGAAAGUUUGAUCAGGUGAUCACUUCAUUUGGUUUUAAGGAGAACACCGUUGAUCAAUGCAUAUACCUCAAGUUUAGUGGGAGCAAAUUUAUUAUCUUGGUGCUAUAUGUUGAUGAUAUUCUACUUGCAAGUAGUGAUGUGGGACUUUUGCAUGAAACCAAGCGAUUUCUAUCUAGUAAAUUUGAUAUGAAAGAUCUUGGUGAUGCAUCUUUUGUGCUGGGUAUACAGAGAUCUAUAGGGAUCAUUCAAGAGGUAUACUUGGGUUAUCACAAAAGGCCUACAUUGAUAAAGUGUUGAGUAGAUUUGGCAUGAGCAAUUGUGCACUAGGAAACACGCCUGUGGCAAAAGGGGAUAAAUUUAGUUUGCACCAAUGUCCGAAAAAUGAACUUGAGAAGAAGGAUAUGGAGAGGUUUCCCUAUGCCUCGGCCAUUGGAAGUCUCAUGUAUGCACAAGUUUGUACGCGUCCGGAUAUUGUGUACAUUGUUGGAAUGUUAAGCAGAUAUUUGAGUAACCCAGGUAUGGAUCACUAUAAAAAGGCAAAACGGGUUAUGCGGUAUUUACAAAGGACUAAAGACUAUAUGCUCACAUACCGUAGAUCCAGUCAUUUGGAGAUCGUGGGAUAUUCGGACUCCGAUUUCGUAGGAUAUCUUGACAGCAGGAGAUCCACUUCAGGAUACGUCUUCAUGCUGGCUGGAGGAGUAGUUUCAUGGAAAAGUGUUAAACAAACACUUAUUGCUUCUUCCACCAUGGAGGCAGAAUUCAUAGCUUGCUACAAGGCAUCAAACCAUGGGAUAUGGCUACGGAAUUUUAUCACUCAAUUGCGAAUUAUUGAUGGGAUUGAGAAACCAUUGAGAAUCAAUUGUGAUAAUAAGGCCGCAAAAUUGUAUUCUAAGAACAACCGAAGUUCAUCAAAGUCCAAACACAUUGAAAUCAAGUUCUUGGUUGUGAAAGAAAGAGUUCAGAGUCUUCAAGUAUCGAUUGAACACAUAAGCACAAACUCCAUGAUUGCGGAUCCGCUCACUAAGGGUUUCCCACCCAAAGUAUAUCAUGAGCAUGUCACACAUAUGGGUGUUGUACACAUUGAUGAUGUGCCAAUAUAGUGGGAGUUUGUAUUUAGAUUUUGUGUUUGUUUUCUUGAUGUGAUAUCAUGUUAUGUUAUCUAUACAGACCUUGGUUUUUAAAGACUAUUGUAUUUGAAUACUCUGAAUUGAAAUGAAGACUUUUAGAAGCAGUUUAACAUCAAGUGUUGAAAGUGGAAUUUGACUAAUUUUUAGUCAUAAAGUGGGACCAAUUGGAAAUAGACAUAUUAGAGAUCACAUUCUAUGUAAUUUUCAUGCUACACAUCCAUACUUGAUCCAUGUUGCUAAUUUUGUUAAUACUGUGAUCAUUGAUGGGUUUAGUUAUAAUUAUGAUUAACGAAUGCCGCUUUGAUCCUACAUUAGCAUAACUAGUAGACUAGAUUGUUUAAGGAUAUUAAGAUAGAAUAGCAAGAUGAGCUCAAUAAAGUCCUAUCAUGAAUAUUGUUUUGUAAUAUAUGUGGUCCAAGUGGGAGAUUGUUAAGAUAUGGACUCACAUAUAUAACAAUAGUUCAUGACUAAGCUAUUCACCUCUUUUCAGUAUUUGUUUUCUGUUCGUUCAAGAGUAUGGGCCACCUAUGUGUAGAGCCCAACGCCUUCACGGGCCUUAGAUGAUGGGCCUAAGACUCGUGAGGCCCAAAAGCCCAAUGGGUAUGGUCCCUAAGGCAGGAGGGUAUAAAAGGUCAAGGGUUUGUUCAUUUUGGUAACAAUCACAUCAGUUUUGGAAUGAGAACAAACCCGUUUCUCUUCGACUCCCAUCGUCUGAGAGAAUUCAGAAAGAGGUGGUGCCUUCCACAGCCUUAGAAAAUCCAUACCGUAUUCAUCGUCGGAAAACAAUGGACUCAGGUAUGUUCUUAAACAACAAUGGAAGGCAUAAUUUGAGUGCUUGGUAUACAUAUAUAUCCUGUUUUUUUUUUUUUGGGUAAUAAUGGAAAUCAAGAAUAAUAACAAGUAGCAUUUGGUUUCCAUAGUAAUUCAUUUUUUAUUCUUGUUCUCAUUAUAAAAACAAUUCAAACAUAGUAAUUAAUGAAAAUGAAAUUGAUUUUGCACUACUAUUCUCUAUCCCAGUGUGCCAAACAUGACCUAAGUUAUGUUACCUCAUUCUAUUCCUAAUUGACUUGAAGUUCCUUUGGAGCAAAAUAGAACACAUUGCCCUAUGAUAGAAAAGUUUAUUUUUCAGGUCGGCCUACUUUGAGGCUUUUUUUCCAAAUCGGUCCAUUUGAGACAAACCAUUGUCUAACUAAAUGGUGCGUAUGACCUUGCAAUAAAUAAAACGUCAAACAAUGCAUGAAAUUACAACAAGAAAAACAUUCGAGGUCCAACACCCACCUUGAUCAUUUUGAACAUUGUCACUAAAAAAUCAAGAACUUUGAAACUUUUCAACCCAUGUGGGUCUCAUACAAUUGUAACAUGAAGCAUGAUUAAGACGUUAAGGUUAGGGUCCUAUGAAAAUUACUUUUUGCUCUUUUCAAAGUGUCUUGGGUCUUAUCCUUAUCGGUUAGAGAGACUCUUCUUAGUUGGUAUGACUUCUUUGUGGGCAAGAAGCUCAAAAAAACUUGGAAAAUUGUCCCUUCAUAUAUUUUUUGAAUAGUUUAAAAAGAAAUGAACAAACUUAUCUUUGAUGAUGAGGAGUUGUCCAUACAAAGGUUGAAAAACUCCUUUGUUUGUACAUUUUGAUCUUAGAUUAAAUCGUGAUCAGGUUGCUAUAAAUUGAUUUCAAAUAUUCACAUCAAUCUUUGCUAAAAACAAAAAUAGAAUAAAUUAGAAUAAAUCUUGAAGGAAUUAUGCUAAGAUUCAUUAAGCUAAUUGUAAUAACCAAAGAUAAUGCAAUUAUAGACAUCUUUUCCCUCAAAAGAUAGCUAGCUUAUUAUAAAAAUAUUUUAUUAUUCUUCUUUUUCAUAAAUGUUUUUAUGUUUUUUGUCUAUAGCACAUAAGGGUUACAUCAAUUGUGACAUAAAUUAAGUAGAUUUUUCAUUGCUAAAUUACUAUAUAUUCAAAUCUUUAAGUAGAAUUGUGCAACACGAUCCACAAAGUGAUGUAUAAGCAUUUGAUUUUUAUCAAAUGUUUUUCAAAAACUCCUCUAAAUACUUGGUCUUAUUGAGUGUUUAAAAUGGACAAUAUUAAGAUACUUUAUACCAUGUUUCUUAACAUAUUAAAGAUGUUUAAUUAGGGCUAAACAAAUAUUAGUGACUUCCAAGCCUUUCAUGAAUCUAGGGAGCUACAUGCUUUUAUAAACUAAAAGGCUUAUAAGAUAAAGAAGUUUCAUAAUUUUCAAUUUUUAUGUAUACAAUAAGAUUUUUAUAUAUUCUACCACUUAUUUUAUCUUAUAUUUGAUUGAACAUAUAAUAGGAUAAUCGUGGUUUAAAAUAUCGAUAUAUACCGAUAAUAUAUCGGUACUUGAAUUUUACGGAUAUAUCGGAAAUAUUGAUAGAUAUUUUGGUAAAAAUAUUGGUGAUAUGAAAAUUAUUCAAAAUUCAUGUAAAUGCUUGGAAAAACUCUAAAAAUAAUAAAAUAAGCAAAAAUAAGCAAAAAUACAUAUAUUAAAGUUUUUUUACAAAUAUAAUUAACAUAGGUAUGACCAAGGAUAAUAUUUAUCAUUUUUUUUUAUAGAAAAAAUUAUCUAAAACUCCCUUAAUACAUUUAUAUUCGUUUAAUUUCUAAAAUUUUAUUACUUGUGGUGACAACUUUUUCUAUCAAUAUUAAUUUGUUUAAAUAAUUAAAAUUAUUAAAAAUUAUGUUAAUAAUUUAUCUUAUCAAAUUAAUUUUAAUUUAUAAAAUAUUAUAACUUCAUUAUUUUUUUUAUAUUUUAGUAAUUUUUGAAUAAAUUUAUAUUUUUUAAUAUUUUAAAAUAAAAAGAUUCAAAAUUAUAUAUGAUUUUUUUAUACUUUUUAUAUUAUUGCUAUUUAAUUAUCAUAUAAAUGAUUUAAAAAAAAAGACUUGUUAAAAAAAAUUAUAAUGAUGGUUUUCAUACUUUUAUUAAUUAAUUAAAUAAAAUUUAAAAUAUAAUAAGUAGAAUUAAUUUAUUUAUUAAAAUAUUUCUUUAAUAAUGGAUUUUAAUAUAUACUUGUGCACAUUUAUUAAAAAGGGUGAAUUUGCCCGAGUGGUAGUUGGGCUUUAACCCAAGCAUUUUGGUCUCGUUCCAAUCCCUGCCAUAUUUCAGAAAACAAGUGAAACAUCGCUGGGCCGACUUUCAGCCCAUAUUUCAUGUCAGGCCUCACCAACAAAUGAAAUUUCGCCGACAUUUCAAAGGUUUUUUUUUAGUACUACCGACUACAAACUACCACCAAAACAAUGAUAAAAGAAAAAGACUGAAAUAUCCUCAGAAUUUAAAUUUAAGUAAAUAUAUCUUGAACCUCAAAUAACAACCUUUUUAUGGGAUUAGUAUAAUUAAAAUUUGAUCAUGGAACUUUCAAACUUAAAAUUUUAUAUUGAUUUGGGAAACAUGAACAUUAAGGUUAUGUUUGGUUCUCGGAAAAUUUGAGGGAACCUGUGAAAGAAAUAAAAUAGAGAAAAAAAGUAGAAGGAAAAUGAAAAGUAAGUUUAGAUUUAAUAAAUUAUUUUAAAUUAAUUUUAAUUAUAUUUUAUUUUCUUUUAUAUUUUUUAUAGUAAAAUUAAAUAUGAGAAAAUCAUUUUUCUUAAUAUAUAAUUUUCUUUUCCUAGUAUUUUUUGAAACAGCCUAAUUAAAAUCAUCACAAGAACUUAUUGAUUAUUGUAUACAAUUCUAUUUGUAUAGCAUAUCUAGGCUAUAUAGAACUUUUUAACACAUACACCAACAAGCAACUUCUCAUUAUGAUAAUCUCCAUUCCCAAGUUCUAAAUCCAUCCAAAUACGUACUUCAUGGCAAAACUGUAACACACCAAAAUAAACUUUAGGAGUAAAAUAGUAAAUUAUAAAUUAAUUAAUUAAUUAAACUCAUUAAAGGUAAAAGAGUCCUUUUAUAAUUAAUAAUCUUUGGUAUAAAUUAGAUUCUUCUUUAUUGAGAAAACUCUAUUAACCAAAAAUCAGUGAAUUGGAGAACGUAGGGCUCAAGGUUUGAAAGUCUAGAGUUUGAAGUUCAGAUUUUUCCAGGUAAGAUUCUAACUCUAGAUUAAUAUAUUAUAUUCGUUAGUUAGUUUUGAAUAUAUUAGAUAUUCUUUAGAAAAUUUUAAUUUAGAUUAGGGCUAGUUUAGUUAAUUUAUUUUAAGAUAAAAAAAUUGAAAUUAUGAAUAUAAGUUGUUUCAUUUAUGAAAAUAGGGAAAUUCGAAUUUUUUUUUUAUAUGAAUAGAUCUAAACAAUGAGAUUUUAAAAAUUAAAUGAGUAAAUAAAUAUAUGAUUAUAUGUGGCUUAAGGGAUUGGAAAAUAAUAAGAAAAAGAAUUGCAUGUUUGUGAAUUUUGGAUUUGAGGCAAUGUGUUGGAGUGGCAAAAAAUAAAAUGAUAUGUAACUGUGAAAAGGGUGGUAGUGGAAUAAAUUAAAAUAAUAACAAUGAGUAGAGUUGAUGGGGUUGUUGGAGUUGUUAAAAGUACAUGAGGUAUUUUGUUAAAUAAGAGGGGACAUUGAGAUUAAUAAGAAUAAUGAUAAUAAUAAUAAUAAUAGUAAGAAUUGUGUGAUUUGGAUGUUUGUGAGUGAUGUAUAGUAGGGGUGUUUUUGGAUGUUGCAGGGUAUCGAAAAAUAUAGUAAUAAUAAAAAUAAUUGUUUUUAAUAAAAGUUUUAAUUUAGUUUAAGUAUACAAAAGAAGUAAAUGGUUAGAAUAAGAUUUGGAAGAAAUAUGAGUUUAUAAAAAAUUUGGAAAUUCAUUAAAUUAUAUUAUUAUUGUUUAAGAAGUUGAAACUAAUAUUCGGUAGUAAUAAUAUUAGAAUGAUAAAUUAAUUAAGAUCCCUAAUACUAAAUAAAAUAUUUUUAGGAUUGUCAAAUUUUUACCUUUAGAUAAUUAUGUAUGAUAUUAUGUUAGGUGAAGAGUAAAUUCGUCAAGCUAAAUACUUCAAGUUUUUGAGCACUUCUUCAAGGUAAGGGAAAUUAAUGCAGAUUUUUUAUAAAUAAUAAUAAUAAUUUUCUUUUUAUAUUGUAUUUUGAAAUGUGUAAAAAUAUUAUUUUUAUUUUUUCGCAUGGAUCAAAUAUGCAUUUUGUAUGGAAAGUAUAUUUGAGAAUUUUCUUUGUUUAUGAAAAAUGAAAAAUUGAGGAGAUAUAAUAUUUUGUUUUGUAAGUUUGACUUAAUGAAAUAAAGUGUUUGACUAUGGAUUAUAUGACCCUAGUCAAUGAGUUAUAAUUGUUGAUAUUUUCGGUUUUAGUCAACGAUUUAUAAUAGUUGAUAUUACAUAGCCCUAGUCAACAGGUUAUAAUAGUUGACCUUAUGACCCUAGUCAACGGGUUAUAAUUGUUGACUUUUGGUUAUGUUCACCUUAAAUGGAACAAAUUUGAAACUACCCACUCAUUUGUGAAGUCCCACCUAAUAGGCCACCAUUUGUUAUUUGAUAAUCAGAGCAAAGAUAUUUUGAAUGUAUUUGAUUUGGUUUUGAUGAGAAAUUGUUUUGAAAUGGAUAUGAGAAAGUUUUGUUGAAAAGUUUGAAUGUAUUAGUAUUUUGAACUCAAAAGUUUUUAUGAAAAUAAGUAUAUGUUAUACCUCCUAUUUGCAAGUAUGAUUGAAAAUGUUUGAUCCAUGAAACUGUAUUAAUGUUCUUUAUCGGGCUUUGAGUUCAUCCCCCUUUAUUGAUAAUCUUUCAAGUAACCUCAGUUCGGGCGAGGAGUGACCCUUAUGAGGGAAAUUUAGCUUUAUUAGGACAUUUGUUUAAACUUUUUUUAUUUUGGACAUUAUUGAAAUGUUAAAACUUAAUUCUUGUUUCAAUUAUUUUGAGUUUAGAGUUAUUUGGACAAUAACAUUUUGGUUGAUGUAUUAGUUUUUUAAAAAAGUUGAUACUUGGAGAUUUUAGAAUUUUGUCCUAGAAUAGGAAUUUGGUAAUUGGUAAAUUUCCAGUUACAAUACGGAUGUCGUUUCCACUUUGAGCUUUUAGGCUUGAGUUGUGAAAUGACUGUCAUGCCCUUGGAGUGGGUUUUGGGGCAUGACAGAGUGGUAUCAGAGCACUAAGUUAUGAUCUUGUUGGGAACUUGUUUUAGUUUACAUUUGGGAUAGACCAGUGACACAUUAGUUUAAGUUUCAAUUUCAUCUUUUAUAAAUUCCUAUUUUUCCUUAUGAAUCUAAAUUUCCUAAUUAGUUUUUUAGUGACUAAUUUAAUUAUACCUAAUGUUUUAUUGGACAACAUGGCACCAAGAAGAACAACAUCUUCCCAAAACAGUCAGGCUAAUAAUGAUGUACCUCCUCCACUUGAGGGUUUGCCUCCCAUGAAUGUAGAAGAACUUUAUAGGUAUUUUGAGACUUUAGCUGGUUUGGUUAAGCGUCAGGCUAGAGCUAUUGAGACUCAAGCUCUUGGACAACACUCAUCUUCUAAGGGUAGCUCAUUUUAUGACUUUAAUAAGUUAAGUCCUCCUUAAUUUUCUAGUACUUCAGACCCAAUGGAAGUAGAAGCUUGGAUUCUUAAGAUAGAGAAAUUCUUUGAUGUUAUAUAUUGCUCUGAGGAGCAAAAAGCCUAUUAUGCAACAUUUAUGUUAGAUAAAAAAACAGAUCAUUGGUGGCGUAUGACCAAAAGGCUUUUAGAGGAUCAAAGACCUAUAGUUUGGAGACAAUUUAAGGAGGCAUUUUACAAAAAGUAAUUCCCUGACAGUUUUAGACGAUAAAAAGUAGGAGAGUUUGUUCGUUUGGAAUAGGGGGAUAUGACGGUGGACCAGUAUGAGGCUAAAUUUACAGAGUUGUCAUGUUUUGCUCCACAAUUAAUUGCUACAGAGGAGGAAAAGGCAUUAAAGUUUCAGGAUGGAUUGAAACCCUAUCUAAAGAACAAAAUAUAUAUAUUUUGAAGCUUAGUGCCUAUUUAGAGGUUGUAGAUAAAGCUCGUAUAGCGGAAAAGGAUAAUAAAGAGCUUUAACAGUACAGAGAACAACAAAUGAAGAGGAGUAGGAGUGAUGAUGCCCAUGAGAACCAAGAACCAAAAAGGUUUGAUUCAAUUGAGAGUCCGAAUAAAGGGGAAACAAUGCAAAAUUCAUAUUUGACUUGUUCUAUUUGUGGUAAGAAACAUUGGGGUAAGUCUUGCUAUAAAGAGUCUGGAGCUUACUUUGGUUGUGGGAAGCAUGGACAUAUGAUUCAGGAUUGCCCAAAGAAUAAGAAGUUUAUGAUUGGGAAGCCUAAAGAGGAGAAUAAAGAGGAUAAACAGAAACCCAGAGUCCAAGGGCGAAUGUUUGCUAUGACUCAUCAAGAUGCUCAAGCCACUUCUGAUGUGACGACAUGUACUAUUCGAAUUUGCAAUUGGGAAAGUUGUGUUUGUAGCUACCUAUUUGAAAGUAUUAUGGAUAUCAAAUUGGAAGAAGUUGGAAUAUGAGAUUUGACCAUGAAAUGGCAAAAUAUUAUCUUUCUCAUGCACUCUUUUUUUUACUCCAUUUUAUGUUCCUAGAUUGCCCCUCCAUGUUUCCAUGUCAGCAACCCUAUCUUCAUAUUAGCAGGAAACCCUCCAUGUCACAUAAGAGACUUGAAAUUUAUAAAACAGAAAAAUCAAACCUAUGAAAAUCACCUGACCCAAGACCCAUGUAAAAUUUUUAAAAUCUUUCUUCUCUUUGAUUUGGGAGCUUCUCUCUCUCUUUUGGCUUCAUCACCCACACAAUCCCGAGACCCAUGUAAAAUUUCCUAAAAUUGUCUUAUUAGAGAGGAAAAAACCAUUAAUCCAAAACUCCAACCUGUGUGUUUCUCUCUUGUCCACAUAAAAGUGCAACGAAAUGGAGCAUUCCAUCCUAUGAAUGUUCGGUUAAAAGAAAACUUCAAGAGGCGCAUCCGUGAUUGUGAAUCUACUAUAGCAGCAGGUACCGGAACGGAAAGAUGGAAUCCAAAAUAUUGGGUUUGUGAACAAGAUAUCUCUUCUUGUCAUUGAGUGGCAUUUUUCCCUAACCCCAAACCGAAAUAUAAAGGUAAAUUAUUUUCAUUUAUUGUUCUUUAGUUCAUUAAUUUGAAAUAGAGCACAUCAACAAUUUUGGAGUAGUUGGUGGACUUGAACUUUUGUGUUGGGUUGUGGAAAUCGUAUUAUUCCUAAAUAACCAUAUGACCCACAAGUCGUAUUUAAUUCAGAUGAAACUUACAACAUAUCUAGUUAUAAGUCGCAUUGUUAUUUUGUGGACUGUACCUUAGGUACUACCUUAAUAGCCCUUAGGUACUACCUUAAUUUACUUUAGGUACUACCUUAAGGGACCUUAGGUAUUACCUUAGUUAAAGUUGGGUUCUACCUAUCCCAAGCCUCGGACCUUCCUUUGUGACCCUUAGACCAUGCCAUUAUGUGAUUUUUUUAUGUGGGCAAGUGGUUCACCUUUGGUUUUUUGCAAAUUGUACCUUAGGUACUACCUUAAGGGACCUUAGGUACUACCUUAGUUAAAAUUGGGUUCUACUUAUCCCAAGCCUCAGACUUUCCUUUAUGACUCUUAGACCACACCAUUAUGUGAUUCUUUUGUGUGGGCAAGUGGUUCACCUUUGGUUGUUUGCAGACUGUACCUUAAGUACUACCUUAAUAGCCCUUAGGUACUACCUUAAUCUACCUUAGAUACUACCUUAAGGGAUCUUAGGUACUACCUUAGUUAAAGUUGGGUUCUACCUAUUCCAAGCCUCGAAUCUUUCUUUGUGGUCCUUAGACCAUGCCAUUAUGUGAUUCUCUUGUGUGGGCAAGUGGUUCACCUUUGGUUCUUAAAGGACUGUACCUUAUGUACUACCUUAAUAACCUUUAGGUACUACCUUAAUAUACCUUAAAUACUACCUUAAGCGACUUUAGGUACUAUCUUAGUUAAAGUUGGGUUCUACCUAUCCCAAGCCUUGGACCUUCAAUCCCGGACAUUACUUGUUAUAAUUUAAAAUUUGUAGUUUAUCAUUACUAAUACUUUGUAUUUUAAAAUAUGAUAUUAUUUUAAAUUGCAUAUGUUUUUUUUUAGAAUUUCCCUUAAUUUCUCUAAAACAUAUUAUUAAGUAAAUAAAUUUUAAAUCAAAUUAUUAAUUUUUAAAAAUAAUUUGAAACUCAAAAAUCAAUUUAGGGUACUUUUUUAUUUGAAUAACAUAGAAAAUCAUGGACUUCAACAAAAUAGUAUCAAAAAAAUCAUAAAUUAAAAUUCAUUUUGAAUGACUUCACUAGUUUCUUCUUUAUAUAUAAUUAUAUUUUGGUAAAUUUUUUUAUUUGGCAAAUAAACUCUAAAUCAAGCAAGACUUUGUGCAUUGGAUUCUUUAACGGAUCUAGUAAUUUUUUAAAAUAAGUUAAACUCAAAUAGUGAUCAAAUUAAUAUAAGAAAUCUAUGAACAAAAAUUAAUAACUUUAUUGUUUAUUUUCUAUAUAAAAUCAAUUUUUUUAAAUUUUGUUUACUAAAAAAAUAAACUUCAAAUUAAAUAAAAUUUAAUGCAUUGAAUUUAUUAACAACUCUAAGUAAUUUUAAAAAAUAAUUUAAAAAUCAAAUAGUGAACCAAUCAAUACCAUAAAUUUUUGGAUAUAAAUUGAUCUCUUCUGUUAUUUAUUUAUGAACAUAGUUAUAUUUUUAUAAUUUCAUUCACUACAAAAAUAAACUUAAAAAUCAAAUAAUAUUUUGUGCUGAAUUUAUUUAUUUUAAAUGAUACUAUUAAUCAUUCUUAAUUUUAAAAUAUUAGAAUUAAUUUUUAAUAAAAAAUCAAUUAUUAUUUUACAAAGAGGUCAAUAUCCAUAUUUCUAUAAUAAAGAGCAAAAUAGUAUAAUAAAUUCAUUUUAAAUAAUAUUAUUAAUUAUUAUUAUUUUUAAAACAUUGUUAUUAAUUUUUAAUUAAAAAAAAUCAAUUAUGUUUUUACAUAGAUGUCAAUAUCCAUAUUUCCAUAAUAAAGGGUAAAAUGGUAUAACUUUAAUAAAAAUAUAUAUAUAAUUUUGUGAUUGUAAUACAAUAUUACCAUUCCUAUUUUACUAAAGACUAUUUAUUGUUUAAUUACAAAACUAAUUUUAUUUUCAAUAAGAAUUUUAUUAAAUUUAAUUAAUAUUACAUAUAGUAUUUUUAUUAAAAUUUUGUUAAUAUUAUAUAAAUUUAAUUUACAAUGUUUUUACAAAAUCAAAAUAAAAAAUAAUAAUUUUAAAAAACAAUGCAUCCAAAUAAGUUUUUUUAUCUUUAAAUUUAAAAAUAAAUAAAAAAUAACUUACCAAAUACCCCUAUUUUUAUGAAAUACUAAAAAACUAUAUCUAUAUAUAUAUAUAUAUAUAUAUAUAUAUAUAUAUAUAUAUAUAUAUUGGUUUUUAACUUCAAACAAUUUUUUCAAAAAUAUAAUAAAAUAUGACCUUAUAUUCUAUUCAAACUUAAACGUUAAAUAGUAAUUCUCUUUUUGUCUGCGAGCUACUAAUGUGGACCCUGCAUUUUGCACGAUGCGUUAUCACUUGACGACGUGACUUACUUUUUAAUUUAUUUGGUGAAAAUUUGAUAUUUUUUGAAAAAUACUUGGAGUCGCCACUUAUUUUAUUUUUUUUAAGGGAAAAAAAAUAAGAAAUAAAAACCCUAAGUGUAACUCUUGAAGCUGUGAAAAAUCGAGUUUGGGUCCGGGGAUCAGGUUACUUAUUAGGAAUGUACGGUGGUGAGUCGUAGCACCCCUCUAAGCCCAUAUACAUAUGACCUCUACUAAACGAAUUAAGGGAAUUGUGACAAUUAAUUAAUUAAUUAAUUAUGGAUACCAAGAAAAAUAAUCAUGCAAAUGAGUAUGUACAAGUCAUGGUGAAAAUCAUUAUACAUAAAAAUAAUGAUGAAAUCUAAUUACAAAAAUACACAAAAUAAAUGACAAGAGAAUUAUGCAAAAUGAUUUAUUGAACUAAAAAAAUAUUUUAAAAGAAUCAGUUUUCAAGAAAUUUCAAAGAAUUUUGUUAAAAACAAUUUUCAAUUAAUGAUUUUAAUUUAUUUAUUUUAAAAAAAAAAGUCAAUUUAUUUUCUCAACUUCAUUCGUAUUCAAUUUUCAAAAAAGUUAUUUACACUUAUUGUAUCAAAAAAAUUUAUUACAAAAUUUCAAUUUGGCAACAAAAAUUAUUUUACUUGCUUUUACAAAAAAUGAAUGAAUUUUUACAAUUUUAUUUACAAAAGUAUUUCAAUUUGUUUUCAUUUAAGAAAAGUGAUUUAUACAAAUUAUUUAAAAAGACAUGACUUUAUUUGCAAAAGGAAUUUUAAUUGAAAAUAAAAAAAAAAAGAUUUAAAUCAUCUAUUUCUAAAAAAAAAAACUUUUAAUCCCAUUUUAAUUAAGGAAAAAGAAUUCAUUUUUUUUUAAAAAAAGAAUUCAUUUUUUUUUAAAAAAAAACAUUUUUUAGACAAUUUUAUUAAAAAUUAAUUUUUAGGACACCUUUAUUUACAAAACAAAUUUUAAACAAUUUUUAUUAAACAAAGAAAUUUUUGGACAAUUUUAUGAAAAACAGUUUUUCAAAUUCUAUUAAAAACAAUUCUUUUGGAUUUUUCUAAAUGCAGUUUUCUGAAUUUUUAUUAAUGAAAAAGCUUUCUUUUAUUAAAAAUAAUAUUUUAAAAUUAUUAUUUUAUUAAAACAUAUUUACUGAAUUCUUCUUCUUAUUUAAAUAAAAUUUAUAGUUUGUUCGAUGUUCAAUUUUGCACACACUCAAUAAAUAUAUACAAAUGAUUAUUUAUAAGAACUAAUAAAAAUAAAACCAAAUAAAAGUGGGAAAUAAAAUAUGUACUCAAAUAAAUUUAACACAAGCUCAAUAUCUUCCUACAGCUUUUCGAGCCUCACUUUCUUCCAUGAAAUUUUGUGUUCCACAUGUCAUAAAUUCGUACUCAACCAACAAGAUUAUAGGUCCAUGCAAAAACAAAAAUAUCUCAAAUGUAAAUAUCUAAAAAUGUAUAAAAUUCAUAAUAGAUAUUCAAGCCCAAAUUCAAAUUAGUCCAACAAAUUUCAUCAAUUAAAAGUGGACUCAAAUUAGCAAAUAUAACCCGACAAAAAUAUCUCACAUGUCAUAAGCCCUAAUCUAAAAUUUCCAAAUUAAUAGCCAAAAUAUAAGCUCAAUUAAUCAAACCCAAAACAUGAUAAAUUAAAAUAAAUCUCAUUAGGCCUAAACUUAAUAUCUCAUAAUCCAAGCCCAAUUUAAUAUGCAAACUUAAAUCUACAACCAAAAUCAACCCAAUUUAAUAUGCAAACCCACAUCCAAAAUAUACCACAAUAAUAUAUCAUAUCUAAAUUAAAUAAUUCAAAUGAGUACAACUAUAUAAAUUAUCAAUUAAUCUAACCCAAAUUAAGAAAUUCCAAAUUAAUUCACCAACAAUUAAUUAGCCCAAAAUUCAUAUUAAUUUACCAACAACAAAUUAACCCAAAUUUCAUAUUAAUUCAACAAUCUAAAUUUCACAAACAACAAUUACUAUUAAAAUAAAAGGAAAAUAAUAAUAAUAACAACAACAAUAACAACAACAAUAAUAAUAAUAGAAAAUAAGUGGGAUGUGAAAGUGAGGGAAUGAGAGAAAAUGGGAGGGGGUCGUCGGUAGCGACUGACCGGUGAUCUAUCGACAAUGAGGGUUGAUAGGUUUUUGGGAAACAAAAAUGAAAUAAAAAAAAAAGAUAAAUAAAAAAAUGGGAAGAAGAAAAAAAGGAGAAAACGGGGACGGAGAGACGCCGACAUCAUGCCACCGACAGUGAUGAUGGAGUCAGAUGGGGAUAUGGGCAUUGGGACGAGUUGUAGGAGAAAAUAAAAUGGAAAAGAAAUGGGCACCGAUCGUCCAUGUGUGUUGUGGGGGAGGGAAAAAAAAAUGAAAAAAUGAAGUGGGGAAAUGAGGGAGCACGGUUGGGAAUCGGAGUUGGGGGGUGGUUAAGGAGAAGAAAUCCAGAAAUGGGGAUAAUGGAGGUCCGGGUGAGGUUAUCCAACUGUCAGCCCUAAGAGAGAGAGAAGAAAUGGAAGGGCAAAAUGGGAAGCUAGGAAAGUGGGUAAGAAGAAGAUAAAUAAAUAAAUAAAAUGAUGGAAGAAAAGUGAGGGGGGCAUGUCCUCAUGACGUGGGAGGGAUGGAGAGUAGGUGAGAGUAGGUAGGAGAGAGAAAGAGGAAGAGAGAGAAAAGAGGAAAGAGGAGAGAGAGAAUAUAUAUAUAUAUAUAUAUAUAUAUAUAUAAAUAUAAAAAUAUAAUAUAAUAAUAAUAAAAAAUAAAAAUAAAAGUAAAACAAUUUACAAAAUAAUAAAAAUUAAGAAUUAAAGGGUGAGUGGGUAAAAAAUAUCACAUAUAAUUGGGAUUUAAAAUCUAAGUACAAAAUUGGGCUCGAAAUUAACGUAAAAAUAAAAUUGUGACAAAUUUUGGAGUCUACAGCUAUGUUUGCUUUAAAAGAUAUGAUACCAUAAGAUAUAUACAUAUAUUAUAAUAUCAUGUGUCAUUGGAUUGAAAAUAGAUAUCCUAUGGUAUGAUUUCCAAUGAGAUAUGUAUUAUUGGAUGUACAUAUUCUAUGAACAUGAUAUUUAAAGGUAGCAUAUGAAAUGAAAUAUAUUAUGUUUAUAUUUAAUAUGUGAAAUGGAUAAAAAAAUAACAAUAUCAAAUAUAUGUUAUUUUUCAAUGUUUAAAAUAAAAAUUAUAUCACAUUCUAAUAUUUUAUAUUUUAAAAAUUAAAUUUAUGUUAUUCAAUAUAUCAAAAUAAUUUAUAUAUCAUAUAUUAAUAUUAUUUUAUAAUAUUUUUUAUACAAAUUUCUGUAGUAUUUCUUUUUCAAUCAUAAAUUUAAUUUAUAAUAAAAAAUUAUUUUACAAAAUAAGUAUAUAAAAAAAAAUUAUGAUACAUGAGACAUGCAUAUCUCAUUUUGUAGUAUGAGAGUAACAUAUCAUAUGUAGAAGGGACAUACUUGCCAUGAUUAGGCUUCAAAUGAAGUUGAAUUUGGAAUGCCUAUGCUCAAAACAACUGCUAUGAUAAUGCUUAGAGAGACAUUGAAACAACAUUUUAUGAUAACAUUUCAUAUUAACACAACCAAAUUUAAAAGAUUCCAAGGAAAAACAAGGAACAAAAUGUUUUGAAAUAACAUUAGUUAUUCUAUCCUCUCCUGAGAUUGGUCUCCUAAAAGCUGAGUACCAAAGUACAAUGCCACUCAGACCAACCAACUCCAAACCAAUAUUACACUACACACCACAUUCCCCAUCAAUCUCUCAAUCUCUUCACUACACUACAAUACAAGCCAAUGGGUGAUUUGAAACCAUAUAGAAAAGUGUUAUCCGGAGAAAUUCCAUCCCAGCUAACAUCUUUUCAAUAUUUUGGAGCAUAGAAAACAAAAAUUUGAAAUUGAAGAUUUCAUAUGUUUGCCAUACUUGGUGAGACUUUUAAGGAAAGAAGCAGAUCUUAAUGAAGAGUGCCAGACCUAUUUGCAAAACAAAUGAAGCAACAAUCACCAGACUUAUGUCGUUACCCUGUAAGUAGGACCUCGGGUUCAAGGCAACAAAGCAAGCUGAUGCGCCACCUACAAGGACUAUGAUGAGCCAUCGCAGAAACUCAAUUGGAAUAACUAACAGGACUUGAAAAUGUUCCAAGAGAACACAUUAGAUGUUCACAAGACUACUGCUUAGAAACCCAGAAACUAAAAAUUACAUUGUUAAGGUUCUGCAACAAUGGAAACCCCUAUGUGUUAAUCCUUUAAAGACAACAACAGGAUAAACUGGCACUGGAGGUCCAUAGUGUGGAUGAUGCACCACCAACUAUUAACCUAAAUGCUUGCUUGUUAUGUAAUGUAUCUUUUAUUAAGUAAAACUUAAAAGAUACGUUAUGUAACAAUCUUGCUUUAACUCUAGUUAUUUCCCUUGCUAUAUAAUGUUUUUAUAAUUGUACAUAUAUUUGACUAAUAUUGCUUUAUUGUAUGUAGUACAUUUCUAUUAUUUAACAUAUAUUUGGACUUCUAUAUUAAAACAUAUAUUUGACUCAUAAUAAACUUGAUGCAUACAAAAAUACAUAAAAACAUAUAUACUUAUGUGGAUGUAUACACGGUGUACAUGUAGGUAUAUACAUACAUAUACAUGCAUACAAAUAUACAUAGGUAUAUCAGAAUCUAUUAGAUAAAAGAGAUAGAUAACAAAGGACAAAAUUCCUCCAAAAGAAGGAAACAUACACAAAUAUAUUAUAAAAGGAAAACCUUUGGCUUCCCAGCCUUAAGGAAAAAUCCUUAAACUUCAGAGGAGCAUGUGAUCAUCACAUAUGAUGCACCAAAAAAAAAACUUAAAGAAGAUUUUUACAGACAUAGUGAUAUUUGCAAAGCAAAAUGGAGCACAAUGUUCCAAAUUUUCCAAUUUAUUUCUUACCAGAGACACUACAAGAAGAUACGUCACCCUUCAUACAACUAUCACUAUAGUGCCAUCCUAUUGACUAAGACUAAUCAGCCUGGCUCAAUUUUAUCCAACAACCUCCCUAAACAAGAUGUCUCAAUGAUACAGUUGGACCAUAAGGCCAUCGAUAAUGUCAGUGAUCAAGAAAGAAACAUAUAAGCACCGUAUUUUUGCACAUAAAGAAUAUUUGAGAUGGGAGAGUGGGCAAGUAUAGGAUCCAAUGAUAAAUUUGAUUGCGUGAAAGAGAUACUAAUAAUAGCCUAAAUAUCCAAUCUUAUCAAGAGUAAUAUACUUGAGAAAGAUAAUUUGCUAAUAUAGAAUGAGGUCAAACUACUGAUUAUUGGGGAAAACCUGAUGUUUUAUCUUAUAGAAGAUGGUGUUUCAUACCUCAACAUCAAGAUGAAUUCAUUGAAAGCCAUUGGUUAUACUCAUCCAUCCUUAUUAUAAAGGAACUAGAACUUGGGGAGCCGCCUCCACCAUAUGCCUUCACAUUUAUGUGUGAUUACUAUUCAAAAAGUGCUAUUUUGUAGCUUGUAAUUAACUCUUUUAAACACUCUUGAGUAGUAAUUAUUACCUUUUAACUCAAUUGACAUGUUAAAGACCCUUGCAAUCGUUUCUAAUCAAAUUGUGUUAAGUUUUGGUGUUUUUGAUAGCUUUUUGCUACACCAAAGCAAUCCAAGAAUGAGGGAGAGCUGUAUAUAGUUCAUGGCAAAGCUUUUGGAAGCUCAAAUUCAUGAAGAACCAAGCUUUGGAGCUCCAUAUCCCUUUUCCAAAGUCGUUCAAAGUAUGCAAGGAAAGAACAAUGGAGAGAGGAAAAACAGAGUGAAGAAAACUGAGGACAGCAGCUGCAGUCUUCUUUCACACUUUUGGAGCACUUCCCAAAGUCCAUUUUCUACAUGCUAUAUACCAUUUCAAAGCUCAGGAAGUCAAGAAUCCAACGCUUCAAACAGUGUACGAAUUGGAGCUGAAAUGAGGAAGAUAUGGCCUUUUCAAGACAACUGCAUCCAGCUGAAGGACAAAUUCGCAUCUUGCGAAUUUGGAACUCCAACAUGCGAAAUUAAAGCCUACCUUGCGAAAUGAAAAUGGAAUACAGCCGCACAGUCACAGAGAAGCCCAACUUGCGAAAGUGAUUUUGCAACUUGCGAACUUGGAGCUCAACGUGCGAAAAUGGAUUCCAAGUUGCGAAAUCAACUUGCGAGAUUUUCGCAAGUCACCAUGCAACGUGCGAAAUCUACAUGCGAACUGGGAUGUUUGUGCACCGACUCUUUUAGAUCUUUUCUUCAGAUAUUUUUGUAUAAAUUUCCAUUAUUCUCCUUGUAAUCCACCAACCAUAAGAUUUCUUAGCUAGGAAGGUUGGAAAAACUUCUCUAUAUAUACUCCCUUGCAUCCAUUGUAAAAGAUAUAGAUAUAUAAGUAUGUAGAAUCGAUCAAUAUAUAGAAUAUACAGAGCCUUGCUCUGUUUUUCCUUCUCUUUCAUUUUCAUUUUCUUGCUAGCCAAACAUUCUCUGAGAUGUUUUCUCAGAGGAUGAGUGGCUAGGAUUUUUGUUUCUUGGGUGAAGGAAGCUAAGUAAGGUUCCGGCUACAUAAGCGUGAGAUUUUGUUGUUUCCGUUUUUAAUGAAGAGAAAGUGUGAUCUGUUUUUGGUUUUUAUAUUUUUAGUUAACUAGGAUUACCAUGAAUAACCAAUACUUGGUAAGCUUUCGGAUUCCAUGGAUUCUUAUUGCUUGCAAUCUUGCUCCAUGGAGGUCUAAUUGUUAUCUCUUGUUCGCUUGUGAAGGAUGAUUUGAUGGUAAGGAUCACCUUGAAUGGCAAAUACUAGGUGAGAGGUACGAGCCAUUGCAAGGUGUAUUAGUGAGAGGGAUUUAGUGUUGAAACCAUUAAUGGCAAGCAUUUGUAUCACACCGGUUCGGGAAAUAACUAUAGGUUAAAUUCCGAAUGCGAGGAAAAGAUUCAAGUGACCGGAAUCUCCCUCUUUGUAGUUGGCACCUGAUCCUAGUAACCUGAAAUCCCAAGAAACACCUUUCUUUCUAAUUUCUUUCUAGUUAAUUUUAGUUACUUUAUGUUAGGUUAGCUUAAUACCAUCCGUUUUCAUUCAAACUUAUGUCUUCUUUUAAAGCUAACAAAGAAAAGAAAAAGCACCAAUUCAGUUUUUGAACUAAUAUCAAUUGCGAAGUGAAAACCCAUCUCUGUGGACGAUCCUAGAGCCACUAUACUAUGCUAGCUAAAUGCUACCCCGGUAUAUGGUGAAAUAGGUUUAUAAAUUUUGUUGAUUACUCCCGUCUGAGGAUUGAGAUCAAAGCACAUCAAUUGAGUUGAAUCAAUUGGAACACCAAUCGGGCACGAAUCAAUGUGUAAAGAAAACUUGCUUACAAUUAAUCUCAAAUAUCCAACAUUAAACAAAAAAAUAAAUAACUAAGAAGAACCAUGAUUGCUUCAUAUUGAUGCACACAUUCGCAACUUUAGAGCAUCAGUAGCACUAUUAGUGCUCCUUAAACACAUUUUUAGAUCAUUCCGUUGUAUGUAAGUAACAACUUCUAUAGGCCUGACAUCAACAAUGAAGAUACUCUAAGAUGAUGAAGCAUUUUAAUCCACCUAGCAAUGACUUUAAAAUGUAGACAUCUCCAUGAAAAGAUCCUUAGUUUGGAAUUCAGCUUCCAUAGUAAAUGUAAAGCUCUGUCUAGCAAUGGGCUAUGUGGUGAAGCAAUCAUAAGUCUGAGCAAAGGGUGUUGGUCAAAUAGUAGAAAAGGCGAGCAUAGAAGCUACUUAAUAGUAGAUAUGCCAAAGGUCAAUUAGACAUUUAACUGAUUAAGCCAACCUUUAAAAAGAGUUGACAUACAAAAAUUAAUGAACUAUUGAUGUACAUGUGAAAAUUUGUUGAGAUUAUAAUGUUGAAGUGUAUGUAUUUCACAUCCAAUGUUUUUACCAUAUGACUGAAAAGUAGGAAACAAAGUUUACUUCUAGUAAUUGAAUUAAGUUCAUGCUAAAAUGAGAUAAAGGAAAAUGUGAGAAAAAUUAUUUCAUCAUUUGCUCAAGUAGCCCUUGUCAAAGCAGGACCUCUUUAAUUUUUUUCUCACUUUUGAAAUAUUGAAAAGCGUGAGCCUAAGGGCUGAACCCUACUGGAGAAGAAGUACAUAAAGAGCCACCUGACAUGGGCUGAAAAAUAAAGAGACAGAACACAAAAGGAAUAUGCAUGCAGAAAAUAGUAUCACCAUUGGCACUUGACUCAUAACACUGAAUUCAGGAAAUCCAUGAAAGAUACCAUUUCUUCCCCAUGGGUAUCUAAAGAGCAUAAAUACCAAGCUUUAAGGAACACAUCACUAAGUUUUACCACAUGGAGCUCUACAUAAAAAAAAAAGGUUCUCAUGUUCCUUUUUCCAAAUACACCGAAAACACAAAGUGAAGUAGAUAUCCAAAGGUUUCCUCUUUAUAUGUCUGUGCACACACACACACAAACAUAAUAACAUUACUUCUUUUCUUUCCCACAGAAAUUCCUUUCCAAAACCAUAGAAAACUCUUUAUUCAAUCAAGGCAGAACACAAGAAACACAAGACAAGGAAAAAAACUAGUGACUAAAGAGGCUAGUCUACCAUACAACGUAGAAGAAUAUAAUUCACGAAGUACUCAUCCUCAUCCUUUUGCAUAAGCAACACCAAUUAACAAUAGUACAACCCCUAUGCCCCCACAUAAAUGCCACUUCGUCAAAUAGGAGAGCCUGCUAACCUCAACUCCACCCCACAUAUAACCCUUUCAAACUACAAGUAAACCUAAGUUAUAGGCAUGUAACACUUUCAUUAACCUUCCAAAUCAAUUAAUUUUGUCAAAUUCAAACAGCAAGUACCUAACAGGUUCUCAAAUCAACCUUUUUUUCUUUAAUAUAUUUUCAUUUACACAAAUCUGAUUGUUAUAAACAAAAAAAAUACAAUGAUAAUCCUAAGCACAAUCAAAUUGGAAACUUAUGCAUCUUAGUAAUUUUUUUAAUUGCAUUUCCACAUAGCUAAUGAAUCAAGAAAAUAAAAUAUGUUCCUUGUUAACAGUAAUAGUGGUAAUUGGAAAACAGUGCCACAAAAAGGGAAAUCACAAUUCCUAUCAAAUUCACAACUGGAAAAAACAUCAUAAGCUACAAUAAGAAACAAUUAAAUAUUAUUUAUCUUCAAAAUCAUUCAUUUCUUCAUCAGUUAGUAUUCACUUUCUCACAGGAAUCAUAUACAACCCCCAUCUCCACUUCUUAUCCAAUAACUAGAAGGCUUAAAAGGACAAGUAUAUGAUUAAAUAGGAAUUGAAUUUGAAUCAUCAUUAAAAUUUAAAAAGAACAAAUAACAAACAAAGACAAAAUUUAAAACCUAAGAAGAUCUUUUGGAUUUUGGAUUGAUUCGAAUCAUGCAAACAAACAAAAGAAGCAAAUAGAAAAUAAAGUCAUGAUAAAUAAUUGCAAGCCUGUAUUACCCAAAUCAAACCUUAUUACCCUGACCCUUCUCUGUACAUCAAAAUCCUGCAUCACAAUUUGAUUUCACACUAAACUCAUAUGGAUAUGAAUAGAAACAGAAAGAGAAUCCAUAUCAACAUAUUCCCCGAAACAGAAACAAAAAAAAUAAGCAAAAUAAAUUGAAAAAAUAAAUCCAAAAAAAAAAAAAGGAAAACUGGGUGGCUUUGAAUUCAGAAAGAAACCGAUUUAAAAAGAUAUGGAUCCAUCUGAAAAUUUCUUUAACCAAAACAAAUUUUGUCUCAUCUUCAUUCAUGCGAAAAUUAAUCAAAAUACAACAAACCCCAAAAUAUAACACCUUCGGCCCCAAUAUUUUCUCAACAUCCAAAUGAAUCCUUAAAACUCACCUAUGAUUGAUUAAGCCACAGUAAGAGGAAACUCCAUUUCGGUUUCCAAAAACCUUAAAAAAAUUCAACCUUUGAUGAAGAAAUAUGAAGAUAUGCCUCAACUUUGGCUUUGUUGAAGGUUUUUGGAAGAUGCCUAUCAAGUUUGGGUGGUCAACUCGUGAAAAGAGACAUGAUAGGUUUAGGCCAAAAUCAAACGAAGACGGCUUUGGGAAUAUGGGUAUCCAUCGCCUGGUCAGGACAUCAAUAAACAGAUCAGUUGUCUACCUUCGUGUAUCAAACAAGCUAUGAAAAUGGGAAUUUUUUUAGAUCGGGUUAAGGCAAAAUGAGAGGAAGUGACAGAAAGAGUUUCGCAACUUUCAAAUGUUUAUCGGGUCGGGUGUUUUGUGGGUUUCAGAUUUGAUAACUUCAAGUUUCAAAUUUUGGUGUUUAUUAAAUUACGCACCUACCUGCUGACAUGGACAUCGGUGGCUGCUGACAGGGAAACAUUAAAGGGCAAUUUUGGAAAUGGAAACCUAAACAGUAUAUAGUACAUGAGAAAUAUAAUAUUUUUCCCAUUAACAGGCACAUCUCAUAUUUCAUUUAUGUGGGUUUCCAAAACCAUAUAUCUUCCUAAUAGCAGCCUGCAAACACAACUUUCCCUUUGCAAUUUAUUGUUAGAGCCUUGAUUGACCUAAACUCAACACAAUCUAUGUUUCAAUAUCUUUUGUUGGUUUGUUAGGUAUGCUUGUUGAUAGCCUAAACUUUGAUUUGACUGUUGUUUUUCCUAUGGGACAUUCUAUUGUGGAUAAUAUUAUGUUUAGAGGUUAUCUUAUGAUGACUAGUUAUAUGGAGAUGUUAGUGGACUUAAUACUUCUUGACAUUAUGAUUUUGAUGUGAUUUUGGAGAUGGAUUGGUUAGUUUCCUUCUAUGUCUAUAUUAAUUAUUUUGGUAAAAAGGGUGACUAUCCACAUUCCUAGCUAAUAUGCAUUUAGUUUUGAGGGAAACAUGUGAUUAGACCAUUGUGUAUGAUCUUAGCUUUAUGGGCUAGUUUCUUGCUUAGGAAAGGUAAUUAAGGGUUUUAUGCUUAUGUAGUGCGUGAUAAAAAAAAAAAAAAUUACAAUCUAUUAUUGCCAAGUUGAUAAAGGUUUAAUGAUGCAAUCUUAGUAUUCAAGAGGUCAUUUAGGAAUCAAAAAAGGAGAUAAGAGAAAAACAUCCUCAUUAUUUGAAGAUUUAUGUAUGUCAAGUUUAGAGGACUAAACUUUUGUUAAGGAGGUGAGGAUGUAACACCCCAAAAUAAACUUUAAGGGCAAAAUAGUGAAUUAUAAAUUAAUUAAUCAAUCAAUUAAACACAUUAAAGGUAAAAGAGUCCUUUUACAAUUAAUAAUCCUUGGUAUAAAUUAGAUUUUCCUUUUGUCUUCUUUAUUCAGAAAACUCUAUUAACCAAAAAUCAGUGAAUUGGAGAACAUAGGGCUCAAGGUUUGAAAGUCUAGAGUUUGAAGUUCAAAUUUUUUCAGGUAAGAUUCUAACCCUGAAUUAAUAUAUUAUAUUCGUUAGUUAGUUUUGAGCACAUUAGAUACUCUUUAGAAAAUUUUAAUUUAGAUUAGGGUUAGUUUAGUUAAUUUAUUUUAAGAUAAAAAAAUUGAAAUUAUGAAUAUAGGUUGUUUCAUUGAUGAAAAUAGGGAAAUUCGAAAUUUUUUUUAGAUGAAUGAUCUAAACAAUGAAAUUUUAAAAAUUAAAUGAGCAAAUAAAUAUAUGAUUAUAUGUGGCUUAAGGGAUUGGAAAAUAAUAAGAAGAAGAAUUGCAUAUUUUUGGAUUUUGGAUUUGAGGCACUAUGUUGGGGUGACAAAAAAAAAUAAUAAUAUGUAACCAUGAGAGGCAAAGGAUGGUAGUGGAAUAAAUUAAAAUAAUAAUAAUAAUAAUGAGUAGAGUUGGUGGGGUUGUUGGAGUUGUUAAAAGUAUAUGAGGUAUUUUGUUAAGUAAGAGGGGACAUUGGGAUUAAUAAGAAUAAUGAUAAUAAUGAUAUUAAUAAUAAUAAUAAUAAUAAUAAUAAUCAUAAUAACAAUAAUAAUAAUAAUAAUAGUAAGAAUUGUGUGAUUUGGAUGUUUGUGAGUGACGUACAGUAGGGCUGUUUGGAUGUUGUCGGGUAUCGAAAAAUAUAGUAAUAAUAAUAGUAAUUGGUUUUAAUAAAAGUUUUAAUUUAGUUUAAGUAUACAAAAGAAAUAAAUGGUUAGAAUAAGAUUUGGAAGAAAUAUGAGUUUAUAAAAAAUUUGGAAAUUCAUUAAAUCAUAUUAGUAUUGUUUAAGAAGUUGAAAAUAAUAUUGGGUAGUAAUAAUAUUAGCAUGAGAAAUUAAUUAGGAUCCCUAAUACUAAAUAUUUUAAGAUUGUCAAAUUUUUACGUUUAGAUAAUUGUGUAUAAUAUUAUGUUAGGUGAGGAGUAAAUUCGUUAAGCUAAAUAAUUCAAAGUUUUGAGCGUUUUUUAAAGGUAGGGGAAAUUAAUGCAGAUUUUUAUAAAAGAAAAUAAUUUUAUUUUUAUAUUGUAUUUUGGAAUAUAUAAAAAUAUUAUUUUUAUCUUUACGCAUGAAUCAAAUAUGUGUUUUGUAUGGAAUGUAUAUUUGAGAAUUUUAUUUGUUUAUGAAAAACGAAAAAUUGAGGAGAUAUGAUAUUUUGUUUUGUAAGUUUGAAUUAAUGAAAUAAAGUGUUCGACUCUGGAUUAUAUGACCCUAAUCAAUGGGUUAUAAUUGUUGACAUUUUCGACCCUACUAGACGGGUUAUAAUAGUUGACCUUAAGGUCAUAGUCAAUGGGUUAUAAUAGUUGACCUUAUGACCUUAGUCAACAGGUUAUAAUUGCUGACUUUUGGUUUUAUUCACCUUAAAUGGAACAAAUUUGAAACUAGUCCCUCAUUUGUGAAGUCCCACUUAAUUGGGCACCAUUUGUUAUUUGACAAUCAAAGUAAAGAUAUUUUGAAUAUAUUUGAUUUGGUUUUGAUGAGAAAUUGUUUUGAAAUGGAUAUGAGAAAGUUUUGUUGAAAAGUUUGAAUGUAUUAGUAUUUUGAACUCAAAAGUUUUUAUGAAAAUAAGUAUAUAUUAUACCUCCUAUUUACAAGCAUGAUUGAAAAUGUUUUAUCAAAUAAAACUGUAUUAAUGUUCCUUAUUGAGCUUUGAGCUCAUCCUCCUUUGUUGAUAAUCUUUCCGAUAACCUCAUUUUGGGCAAGGAGUGACCGUUAGGAGGGAAAUUUGGCUUUAUUAGGAUAUUUGUUUAAACUUUCUUUAUCUUAGACAUUGUUGAAAGGUUAAAACUUAAUUCUUGUUUGAAUUAUUUUGAGUUUGAAGUUAUUUGGACAAUAACACUUCGGUUGAUGUAUUAAUUUUUUUUUUAAAGUUGAUACUUGGAGAUUUUAGAAUUUGAUCCUACUACUCUGAACAGGAAUUUGGUAAUUGGUAAAUUUCCAGUUACAAUAGGAUGUUUGUGUUGUUUCCACUUUGAGCCUUUGGAUUUGAGGUGUGAAAUGACCGUCAUGCCCUUGGAGUGGGUUUUGAGCGUGACAAAAACAAUUCAUAUUUCAAAUGGAAAACACUCAACAAUUCUCCCAAAUUUCUUUCUUUUUAGCCAAAAAAAAAAAAAAAAAAUUGGAUCCACAACAAUGGUUUUAGGCAAUGAAGAUUCAGCAUCUUCAAAAUGUGGAAAAAUAAUAGAUCUAAUCCACUUGCAUGCUAAUAAAUAAAUAAAUAAUUCAACACCAUCCAAAAUUUAUAUUACAAUUAAAAAAAAAUACCUUUAAAAGUUCCCAUUGAUAAUAAUGAGUAGCUCGAUCACACUAACACAAAGAAGAUACCUCUAAUUGUUGGUAUAUUUUUUUGCUUGUGAAAUCAAGCAUUGACAUAAAAGCAAAAAAAAAAGGAAUGAAUCGUUUUACCAUAUCCCAACACAAAUAAAUAAAUAUACUUGAUAGAUUCAUAAUAUAACACCAAAAAAACAAAAUGAAAAUCCAAUCCAAAAAUAAAAUAAAAUAAUCAAGAGAUAGAAAUUGAAAAGGGUUUGAAAGUUAGAACGGGUGUUGGAAUUGGGUUUGGGUGCUCAAGUGGGCUGAUCCGACCUGACCUAAAAACUGCCACUAUUGUAAAAAAAAAUUAUUUUUCUCCGUGGAAACCCUCUCUUUUUGAGUACUCUCCCUCAAAAAACUUUUUUUUUCUCUCUCUCAAAACCAGAAAGUGAAAAAUAUAUUUCUUCUUUCCCUAAAAACAAAAGAAAGAAUAUAUUUUUCUUUCUAAAAGAAAAUCAUUUCUCAAAGUUUUUUCUAUUUUUCUUCCUGAAAACGAAAAUCAAGGUUCUUGUACCAUAAGAAAAGAAUAAUCUUUAUAUUUGUAAUUUCAUUCAUGAAUUGAAGCAAAAAAAAUUGAUCAGUAAAAUAAUCAAUCAGAAUUCUUAAGCAUUUCAAUAGUUAAUUGAAUGCAUUAUUUUUCAUGAAGGAAAAAUUUUGAAAAACCAAUAAUGAAGAGAAUCCAUAGAGAUAAAGGAAGAAUCGAAAAAUAAAGAAAAUUAUAUAUAUAUAAUUGCAAUCGUAAUCGGUACAUGAUAAAUGGGUGAAGAUUUUGAAAGUGAAAUAAUUGUAAAUGAAACCAAAUUUACUUAAAAAUAAUAUUUUGACGAACACGUCACACUUUUGAAAUUAGUAGGAAGACGUUUGAGCUUUUACACGACGAUAACACAAACCGUCAAAUACGAAAUGACGCGUGUAAGUGGAAAGGUGGGAAUUAAAAAGUUGUUGGGGUUUGAUCUCAAGGCAUAUAACUAAUUUUUAAAAAUGAAAAAGUGGGACAUAGCUCCUCCGACUGUCGUCAAAAGCGUGUGGGCCUCUCUCCAUUGUCAUUUCCGGGCAACUCCAAUCCAGCGGAAUAUGAUUCCAUUCCCGCAGUGAUCCGAAAUGGGCAAUAAACCACUCACUGUCUUGCCCACUGGUUAUAAAUCAAGCUGCAGCGUCACAACUUCAAAUCACACACACAAAGAUAAAAUUUGCAUAGAGAAUAUGGGAGAAACACUUGGAGAUCGUAUUGGGUUGAGUGACGAAGUCAUUAAUGUAUUGGCUUCUCUAGCCAUGAAAGCCCACGAUUGCACUGGUGAGCCAUUUCUCCGCAAGAAAGGUUUACCCGUUACUGUAGGGACCCCUCCCCUUGAUGACACGUGGCACGCAUUUCUAACCAGAUCAGCUUCAUCCGGAUUUCCCCAAGAGUACACAUGGCGCGCUCUCCUAUCCGGACUCCCUCAAGGAGAGGCACACAACACUCACAAACAUAACAUCCGGACAACCGACAUAUAAUUUUUGGAUAUGUUCAUCCGGAUCAUUGACUGAAGUGAGCAAGUCUUGCACGUCAUCACAACAGCCUGCCAUGGCUCACGUUCCGCCACUUGCAGAGUGAGAUGACAGGAAUGAAGUGAUGGCAAGUCACUUCCCACGAUCUUUGACAGCUGCGGCGCCUCCCACGAUCUCUGUCAGCCGCCCUAUGAGUGAUGAUGGCCCUACCACCACCUAGAGACAUCAUGACAAGCCAAAAUAUCUCCCUACCAUUAAAGAGGGAAACAAAGCUCCUUAUACGAUAUAUAUAUAUGAACCUUCACACAAAGAGGAAGGUAAGGUUUCUAUACCUAGUAAAAGGCCAACUGAUUUAUCUCUCUGAACCAUGGCUAACAAAACCAUCGGAGGGUGCGUCCGGACACCCUGUCCGAACGUCUUUUGUAAGAACGACUAAACCAGGAAUCUAUAUUGGUUGAGAUCGUGCGUCCAUCCAUUUGGCAACUACGUGGAUCACCAGGGACGCGAGGCCUCAACAUUGGCGCUGUCUGUGGGAACAUCGCUGAUUCAGUCACCGGCAAACAUGGUCACACCUUCCCGAAGUCGCUCAUCUGGUAAGGGAGAGGAAGAUCAUUCUGAAUGGCGACAAGCCAUCGAAAGAAGACAGUUGGCAAGCGAACGACAACUGCAAACUCUCCUCUGGGAGACAGAAAGGUUAAGAGAAGAAAACGCGGUGCUACGCAUCCAAGCUUCAUCGACGGGGCCUCCCCGUCGCCAGCGUUCGAGAGGCCAGAUGGCAAACUCAAGGCCGGAACCAGAGUCAAUAUACCCUGGGACAGUAAGAGCCAUCCCAAAAACCAGCAACGUUAAGCCACAUGAGCCACACACUCCCAUGCACUGAGCUCCCUGUGAGGAAAACUCAGACUCUACUCAUUUUUCAGCAAAAAGACAACGCAACAAAAGGCCCCAGUUGUCAAACUCGAUGCGCGCAAGACUAGGCCCACAGGAGCAUAGGAGGCCAAGGCCACUAGCAGCCACAGCCUGGGAAGCGCACCCUGACCCUAUGGUCACCCCUAUGGUGCAAAACGUUCUCCCACAUCGUGACCCCAUGGUCACCCCUAUGGUGCAUAACGUUCAACCACACCUAGUGGUACGACAAUCUGGGAGAAACCUCCCAAAUGAGCCACCUAUUGGCUCCAUCAGCAAAAGACUGGACAACAUGCUCUCCACGCCUUUCUACUCUCAUAUCAUUCAUUACGAGCCCCCAAGGGGAUUCCUCGUACCCAAAUUCUCCACAUACGAUGGGUCCAACGACCCCUUCGAUCAUAUCAUGCAUUAUCGACAGCUCAUGACUCUCGAUAUAGGCAACGACGCGUUGCUAUGCAAAGUAUUUCCCGCUAGCCUACAAGGGCAGGCCCUCUCAUGGUUUCAUCGCCUACCUCCAAAUUCUGUUGACAAUUUCAGGGACUUAUUGGAGGCUUUCGUGGGACAAUACUUAUGCUCCGCUCGACAUAAACAGAACAUCAACACUCUACGAAACAUAAAAAUGCAAGAUAACAAAUCCUUAAGGGAGUUCGUGAAACGGUUUGGUCAAGCCGUACUUCAGGUAGAGGCUUACAGUAUGGAUGCUGUCCUGCAGAUCUUCAAGCGAGGCAUCUGUCCAGGCACUCCAUUUUUCGAAUCACUUGCUAAAAAGCUUCCAACAACGAUGGACGACUUGUUCAGACAUGCAAACAAAUACUCAAUGCUCGAAGAUGACGUACGAGCAACCACCCAACAAGUCUUGGUUGCUGGACAGGCAUCUAGAAGUGGCGCGGAUAGAAGUGUCAAACUUCCGGACCGGCCAAGGCCGUCCGAUCGAAGGCAGGAAGGGCCAGGUCGCCCGGAAAGACCGCCCCUCACGCCUCUCUCCAUAUCAUAUGAGAAACUUCUCCCUAUGAUCCAAGGCAUGUCCGACUUCAGGUGGCCUAGACCCCUCGGAACGGACCCAUCCAAAAGAGAUCAUAGCAAAAAAUGUGCCUUCCACAAGGAGCAUGGUCACACAACGGAAGAAUGCAGGUGCCUCCAUUAUUUGGUCGAAAAGCUCAUAAGAGCGGGACACUUAAAACAAUACCUCCCCUCAGAUGCCGGAGGUAAAAACGCUUCUCAAAACCACAACACUGGAGCCCCCAGGGCCCCAGCCACCCCCAAAGUCGUUAUAAACUAUAUUAACGGAGGUCCAUCUGACGAGGAGUAUGACUCCAAAUGAAAAAGACAAAAGUUGUUGCGGGCCUGUAGACCCUCAAUUUUGUCCAUCGACACUGGCAUUUAUUCUUCAGGUGUCACAUCCACCCAUCGUUCGCAUAUGGCACCACUAGGGCCCCUUUUGGGCUUAGUCGGUGUCCGAGCCUCGUGUGGGUUUGUCUGUGGUCCAUUGUGGUGCAUAUGUGGUUCAUUUUGGAGGGUCACCAUGGCCAUUUUCCUAGUCGUUCACAUCACACUAUAGGAAGGAAGUGGGGUCAUCUCGAUGUUUUAGCUUAGUUGGAGUUUAUAGGGGCAUGUUGAGGUUCGGAGCACUCGGGCUUGUUUUGAUCGUAUCUCCCUCAUCCAAACUCGGAAUCAAGAACCGUUUCUUUUUAUGGAUUUCUUAUUCUUCCAGGAACAUUCUGUAAAAUUUUCAGAUUUUUUUUCGCAACCGGUCUGCUGGUUGGCAGCCGGUUCAGCCGGUUCAUCGAGUCAGCCGGUGUAGAACACUGAUUUUUGGUAAUUGUUUUGAUCAUAUCUCCCUCUUCCGAACUUGGAAUCAUGCACCGUUUUUUUUAAUGGAUUCCUUACUCUACUAGGAACAUUCUGUCAAAUUUUCAGAAUUUUUUUCCAUCGGUUUGACCAGUUGGCAUCCGGUUCGGCCGGUUCAGCCGGUUCAGCCGGUUCAUUGAGUCAGCUGAGGUAAAACACUAAUUCUAGUAAUUUUGAGGCCUAAAUCCUACAUGGCUCAGGCCCGUAAGCUCCAGAUCGGUUUUGGGCAAUGUUGUGGGUCCAUUUUGGGCCUUGGUUUGGGUUCCUUGUAGGCCACUACGAAUCCAUAUGGAUUCUUGGUGGUGAAGCAAGCUGAAAACUGAAGGAGUGAGCUGGCCUCGUAAGUUUAAGAGAAGUAAUGAGGGGUGUGGUUCCCAUGCUGAUGAAGGGGAUUUCGGUGUUGAAGGGGAAGGAAUCUAGGAGGCUCAAAUGCUAAGAGGGGUAUGAGUAUAAAAGGUGAGAGGAUAGGAGAGCAAAGGAUAGGAGGGGACAUUUUGGAGAAGGGAAAUUUUGCUGGUGAGAAAAACAAAAGGUCAGUAGCAUCUUCUGAGUUGAGAGCGUGGGAGAAAGCUUCAGCACUGUGAUUUUUUUUAAGAGGAGAGUGACAGCAUCUCAGUUUUGGAAGUCAUCAUCUGAAUACACGGAUCAUAUUUGGUGGAGAUUCUGAGGUAAGCAUGCUGAAUUUUCUUUACUUACAGUUUAUCUUCCUCGUCUUCAUAUGCUUUUUCUCCUUCCUCAUUAUCUUUUCUUCCAUUUGAUAUGAAGAUUGUAUUGCUUGGGUGUGGAUAAUAAAGGCCACACAUGAUUGUUGUUGAUUGGUUAUUAAUCAUUUAGGAACUUUAUGACCGAAUUUGGGGUUUUUUAUCAACCGGCUGAACCAGUUGGGAACCGGUUCAACCGGUUCAGCACAAUAGCUGGUUGCCUAUGUCAGCCAUGAAGAACACCUACCUUUCUUUGUCUGGUUCUCACUCAUCCAAGCUCGGAAUUGAGAACCGUUUCUUUUUUUUGCUUCAUUAAUCACUUAGAAACUUUCUGAUCGAAUUUGGGGUUUUUUAUCAACCGGCUGAACCGGUUGGGAACCGGUUCAGCACCAUAGCUGGCAGCCUCUGUCAGCCAUGAGGAACACCUGCCUUUCUUUGUCUGGUUCUCACUCAUCCGGGCUCGGAAUUGAGAACCAUUUCUUUUGUUUGCUUCCUUAAUCACUUAGGAACUUUUUGACCGAAUUUGGGAUUUUUUAUCAAUCGACUGAAUCGGUUGGGAACCGGUUCAACUGGUUUAGCACAAUAGCUGGCUACCUCUGUCAGCCAUGAGGAACACCUGCCUUUCUUUGUCCGGUUCUCACUCAUCCGAGCUCGGAAUUGAGAACCGUUUCUUUUGUUUGCUUCCUUAAUCACUUAGGAACUUUCUGACCGAAUUUUGGAUUUUUUAUCAAUCGGAUGAACCAAUUGGGAACCGGUUCAACUGGUUCAGCACCAUAACUGGCAGCCUCUGUCAGCCAUGAGGAACACCUGCCUUUCUUUGUCUGGUUCUCACUCAUCCGGGCUCGGAAUUGAGAACCGUUUCUUUUGUUUGCUUCCUUAAUCACUUAGGAACUUUCUAACCGAAUUUGAGAUUUUUUAUCAACCGGUUCAGCACCAUAACUAGCUGCCUCUGUCAGCCAUGAGGAACACCUGCCUUUCUUUGUCUGGUUCUCACUCAUCCGGGCUCGGGAUUGAGUGUCGUUUCUUUUGUUUGAAUCCUCACUCAUUUAGGAGUUUUCUAGAAAAAUUUGGGAAUUCUUCUCAAUAGGUUGUACUAGUUGAGAACGAGUUCAACCUGUUCUACUGGAGGACUUUAGGUAGCCCUCGAUUUUGGCAUUUUUCGAGCCCUUAUCUAUUGGGGCUCAAACCCAUUUUCUAUAGGGCACUUGUGAGCCAUCUUGAAGGUUUAAGUCAGUGUUUGAUUUCAGUUAGUAUGGGCAAUUUUGAAGUUAUGGGUGGUGUGGUCUAGAUGAAUCUAGUUCGAUUUGUAUGACAUUUGGGGAGUCCCUUACCUCAUUUCAACCAGAUAUCUUCCUUUUUGGCACAAUCUUUGAUGCUUGAUUUUGAAUACAUGUUGCGUGACUGACUCACCCUCUGCUGUAGCACAUGGCUAGGGACUACAGGUACGGAUCGUUGGUUUUGAUUGUUGAAUCAUAUGCAUGCAUGGUGCUUAAUCUUGAAUGUUUGUUAUGUGUUUAUCGACCUUUUAUGCAGCGCUUGGCUAGGGACCACAGGUACGCACCCAUUAUUUUAGUUGGUUGAAUUCAUAUGCAUGCCAAAUACCAAUUAGGAUUGUGUGAUUCAUGUCAUCUAUUUAGCCUAGGUUUCAUUUGACCUUUGACCUAUAUGCUCCCACAUACCCAAUUCAUUAGUAGAGACCGAGUUUCGGGCCUAGAGGGGUGCUACCUCGCAUGAGGUACCUUCCCAACGGGUAACCUGAUCCCCGGACCCAGAAUCUAGUUUUUGUAGACCGUUUUUUCCAUACUGGGGUCAUUAGGGGUUUUUGUUCUUAUUUAAUUUUCCCCAUUUUAAAAACAAAAAUAAAAAGUAAGUGGCGAUUCCAAACAACACCGUUCCUCAUCGGGGGCGGGUUUUUCAAAACUGGAAAACACCAACUUUUUCAUUUCUUUCUUUUCUUUUAAAAGCGAGUCGCGUCGGUCCGGUGGAUCGGGUGAGGGUCCACAGGGCCGCAUCGGUACGCGAAUGUAUCAACUCCAUCCGGCCUGGGAUAUCUGGAGGGGGCCCCCACCCCAAAGAUGGGACAAUCAUUUUUCCACCAGUACACCCCACCCAGAUAUUGCAUCCGCACCGCGACGCCCUCAUCCUGUCCCUAGAGAUAGGAGACUUCGACGUGAGGCGCAUCCUGGUCGACCCAGACAGCUCAGCCGAUCUUGUACAAGCAUCGGUCAUUAGCCACAUGGGACAUAGUCUCACAGGCCUCGAAAACCCUGGGCGAAUCCUAUCCGAAUUCAACGGGUCGUCAACUACGUCAUUGGGAGACAUUGUACUAUCGGUCCAAGCUGGCCCAGUCACUCUCAACAUACAAUUUUCGGUGGUACAAGAUUUAUCACCCUUCAAUGUCAUAUUGGGGCGCACAUGGCUACACUACAUGAAAGCCAUCCCCUCUACAUAUCACCAAAUGGUAAGUUUCCUUACCAAAGAUAGGCAAAUUGACCUAUAUGCUACCAAAUAGCACGAGAAGCAAGGACCAGCCAGGAGGAUGCAUCCCUCCCUGAGUCCAGCCUUGCACGUGACUAAUAACAAUUAUUGGGUCCGGCGGACAAAGAUCCCCCGGCAGCGGAUCCCUUGCAAACAAUCCAAAUUUCAGAAGAAGGUACUCACCUUACGAAUAUCAGUUCCCUCCUGACACCAGAAGAGACCCAGAAUAUGCAGAACGCCCUCAGACAAAACCAUGACGUCUUCGUAUGGGCACAUUCUGAUAUGAAAGGAAUUCAUCCCUCCAUUACCUCUCAUAGACUCAACGUCUUACCAACAGCCAGACCCAUCCGGUAGAGGGUUAGGCGUUUUCACCCAGACAGACAAAAAAUUAUCCAGAAUGAGAUUGACAAGUUGCUAGAAGCUGGAUUCAUCAGAAAAGUGGAUUACCUAGACUGGUUAGCAAAUGUAGUAGUGGUACCCAAAAAAGAAGGCAAAUGACGGGUGUGCGUCGAUUACACCAACCUCAAUAAUGCAUGUCCAAAAGACAGUUUUCCUUUGCCACAGAUAGAUCAAAUUGUCGAUUCCACUACUGGGCAAGGGAUGCUCUCUUUCUUGGACGCCUUCUCCGGAUACCACCAAAUCCCCAUGUCCCCGAAUGAUGAAGAAAAAAUAGCCUUCAUAACACCACAUGGUCUCUAUUGCUAUAAAGUCAUGCCAUUCGGACUCAAAAACGCUGGCGCCACUUAUUAGAGACUGAUGACAAAGAUCUUCAAAUCUCUGGUCGGCCGCACAGUAGAAGUAUAUAUUGACGAUAUCGUGGUCAAAAGCAAAACCCGAGAGGAGCAUGUCUUCCACUUGCAAGAAGUUUUCCACCUCUUAAGGAAGUAUGGCAUGAAGCUAAACCCUUCCAAAUGCGCCUUUAGCGUAAGUGCUAGCAAAUUCCUGGGAUUUAUGGUCAGCCAAAGGGGGAUAGAGGUUAGCCAGGAUCAAGUGAAAACGGUCAUGGACACACCACCCCCCAAGAACAAAAAGGAAUUACAACGCCUCACAGGCAAGCUUGUCGCGCUUGGGCGUUUUAUAGCCCGAUUCACUAAUGAGCUGCGACCAUUCUUCUUGGCAAUACGAAAAGCUGGAGCCAACGGGUGGACAGACAAUUGUCAAAACGCUUUUCAAAAAAUUAAACAUUGCCUCAUGCAACCGCCCAUCCUGAGCAGCCGCAUCACUGGUGAAAAAUUGUACAUGUACCUAGCUGUAUCAGAGUGGGCGAUCAGCGCUGUUCUAUUCCGCUGCCCCUCACCCAAGGAGCAGAAACCUAUCUACUAUGUCAGUAGGGCAUUGGCGGACGUAGAAACCAGGUAUUAAAAAAUGAAGCUAACAGCCUUAGUUCUUCGCAGUGCUGCCCAGAAACUCCGCCUCUACUUCCAAGCACACCCGGUGGUCAUGCUAACUGACCAGCCCUUUCGCAACAUUCUGCACAAACCGGACCUAACCGAAAGAAUGCUUCAAUAGGCCAUAGAGUUAAGCGAAUAUGGAAUUGAGUUCCAACCCAGGCUGUCCAUGAAAGGCCAAGUCAUGGCUGACUUCGUGCUGGAAUACUCCCGAAAGCCUAUCCAACACAAGGAAUCAAGUGAAAAAGAGUGGUGGACUUUGCGGGUCGAUGGAGCCUCAUGAUCAUCCGGAUCCUGUGUAGGGCUCCUGCUGCAAUCACCAACGGGGGAACAUUUGGAGCAAUCCAUUUGGCUAGGGUUCCCCGCCUCAAACAAUGAAGCAGAAUAUGAAGCCAUCCUAUUCGGAUUGGACCUCGCCCUGGCUCUAUCCGUCUCCAAACUCCGUGUGUAUAGUGAUUCCCAACUUGUGGUAAGACACGUCCAGAACGAGUAUGAAGCUAAGGAUGCACACAUGGCGCGAUAUCUAACUAAAGUAAGGGACACCUUACAACGAUUCACCGAGUGAACGAUCGAAAAGAUCAGACGAACUGAAAAUAGGCGCGCCGACGCCUUGGCAGGCAUAGCUGCCUCCCUCCCCAUCAAAGAAGCCAUAUUGUUGCCUAUACAUGUGCAAACCAACCCUUCUAUCGCGGAAGCUUCCACUUGCAACACCAUUGAGGCAAAACAGGCAGACGACCAAGAGUGGACGAACGACAUUAUAGGGUACCUCCGGACAGGCACUCUACCUGAGGAUCCCAAGCAGGCACACAAGAUCCAGGUGCAAGCCGCCCGUUUCACCUUGAUUGGGGAGCACCUGUACAAGCGAUCCUUCACAGGUCCCUACCUUCGGUGCCUAAGUCAUUCAGAGGCCUUAUAUGUGUUAACUGAAUUGCACGAGGGAGUAUGUGGAAAUCAUUCUGGAGGACGAUCUCUGGCGCAUAGAGCCCAUUCGCAAGGAUAUUACUGGCCCACAAUGAAGAAGGAUGCGGCAGCCUAUGUCAAAAAAUGUGACAAAUGUCAAAGGCAUGCCCCCAUUCCGCAUAUGCCAUCGGAGACAUUGAAACCAAUUUCAGGCCCCUGGCCCUUCGCGCAGUGGGGCAUGGACAUAGUGGGACCCCUCCCAGCCACACCUGCCUAGAAGAAAUUCCUACUUGUCGCCACGGAUUACUUUAGUAAAUGGGUAGAAGCUGAAGCAUACGCUAGCAUCAAAGACAAAGAUGUCACCAAAUUUGUAUGAAAAAACAUCAUCUGCCACUUCGGAAUCCCCCAAACCAUUAUAGCUAACAAUGGUCCACAGUUUGAUAGCAUCGCCUUCCGAAAUUUCUGUUCGGAACUGAACAUCCGGAAUUCAUACUCCACACCGCGUUAUCCUCAAAGUAAUGGGCAAGCAGAAGCCACAAACAAAACGUUAUUCAUGGCUUUAAAGAAAAGGCUCGAGCAAGCAAAAGGAAAGUGGGUGGAGGAGCUACCCGGAGUCCUAUGGGCUUAUCGAACCACACCCGGACGCCCUAUAGGAAACACUCCCUUUGCCCUCACAUACGGUAUGGACGCAAUCAUUCCUACUGAAAUAGGACUACCCACUAUCCGGACCGAGGCAGGAACGCAGGAUGAUGCAAAUGAGGAGUUAGGAAGAAAUUUGGACUGGGCAGACGAAGUAAGAGAAAUUGCAUCCAUUCGGAUGGCAGACUAUUAACAAAGGGCAUCCGCUCAUUACAAUCGCAAAGUAAGGUCCAGAAACUUCAAAAAGGGUACGCUGGUCCUUAGAAAAGUUUUCGAAAAUACUGCUAAGACAGGGGCGGGAAAAUUCCAAGCCAACUAGGAAGGCCCCUAUAUAAUAUCUAAUACAAGUGAAAGUGGAGCUUAUCAUCUACAAAAGCUAGAUGGAACUCCAUUACUCAGACCAUGGAAUGUGUAUAAUUUAAAAUAGUAUUACCAGUGAAGGAAAGAUACAAAUACAAUAUGGAUAAGUAUGUCUUACUUGCGAAGUUGUAUGCAAAAAGUUAUCCGGACUACAAAGCAUAGAAAGAAAGAGGCAAGUACAAUAUGAAUAAGUAUGUUUUAUUGAUACUUAUGAAUUUUGUAUACAAAGGGUCCUCCGGACUACAAAAUACAACGAGAAGAUAGCAAUACAAAAAUUAUUACAAAAAGAAAAGCUCUCAUUGAGCAGGCUUGCUGCGCAACUUCUCUUCCUCACCCGGAGGAAUCGAAAGGACAUCCCGCUUGAUAUCAUGUUUCUUCAUAUAACAGCGAUAGCUGAAGAAGUACAUGUCGUCUACUUGCUUUUGGUAGUCCGCUUCAAGUUCCUCCCUUUCUGCAGCAAACUCAGCCUCCAACUCUUCUUUUUGCGCUGAUAAACGCAACUGCAAAUCUUCUCUUUGUUUUUUCUCGAUGGAAACCUCCGUCCGGAGUUGCCUCACCUCACCCCUCAGAAGGGUCAUCUCAUUUUCCGCCUCAAGCAGGCGGGCAUCCAUGGAUUCCUCCCGGCUCUUUGCCUCAGCUAGCUCCAUCAGGAGGCCUUCGUUCUCAUCUCGAGCGGCGGAUAAACUGGUCUCAGCCUGCUCCAGUCUCAAACGCAGCUCCUCUUCACUAUUUCUACGCUGAGAGGCGAAGGCCUUCAUAUAAUCAGCGGUCCGCAGCAGGUCAGAGAAGAGAUCAUGUUGUUGGACCAUGCCGCGAAGACCGCUCACCAGCUACAGAAAAACACACAAGCAAGAAGAGCAAAGUUACAAACCAUGCCACAAACACAUCAGUAUGGCAAGAAAAAUCAAGAAGUGAAACUAUACCGUUUCCACCACUUCGAACAUUUUCGCUGAAGGCAUGACAACGUCUGAGCCGGGUGGAAUCCGUUUCAGCUUCUCUUCCAACUCUGCGUAGCUAAAAGCGCUAGCAGAGAUGCAAGCUGCAUCAUCAACUGGAUUCCCCCCUGAUGAAGCAUUGGAGAGUGACUCCUCCUCUGGGUCUGGGGCCCCAUCAGUCUCGGCCGGCUGGGUUGCUCCGAGUGAAUCCCCAUCCGGAACCACCACCGGGGCAGGUGGGUUCUCUGCUGCCAUCUCCGCCUCGCUCUCCUCCGGAUGAUCAUCCUGGACGGACGAGCAGCUGGCUUAGAUGGUUUCCAAGAACCGAUCCUGAAGCCGCCCGAUGAGGCCAGACUUUAGGUCUCGCGCUGGACGCAACCUUCUUCUAGCUGGCCCCUUCACCGGCACAAGGGCAAGGGGGCUUGGCCCGCAAGGAGACAAACUUUGACUCUCUGCCCCCAUUUCCUCCAUUGGGGAUGCCGUCGGAGGCAAUGCUGCAGCACAAGAAGCCUCAGCUGCGUCCCCAUUCGGAUGGGGAGAGCCGAGUUGAUUUAUUGAAGUAGCUUCUUCAACCAAAAGAGCCAGGCGGCCCGCCACUGACAUUGAAGGCCCUGAGUGGUUCAGACCCGUGAGAUGUCCGGGACCGCUUGAAACAGAGGGCGGGACGGGAUGUUCCGGCUCUCUUAUUGUUACUUCCUUCACAUAAGUCGAGGGGGAAUUACCAACUCCUUCGGAGGAGUUGGAGGUUUUAUUUCUUUCCCCUUAUUAUUAAGAACCAGCUUUCUCUUAUUCUUCUCUUUUGCUGGAGCUCCAGCAGGAAGGGAGGGUGCGGAGCGUUUUUUCCUAGGAGCCUUCCGUAGAGUUCCCUCUUUCCUCUUCCCCUCUCGAUCGUCAAGGAGUGCUCGGCGUUUCUGAGCGUCUACCUUUUGCACCUCCUUAUAGAAAGGAAGGUCUUUCAAAAUGUAAUGCUCCCCAGGCACUACCUUUUUUGGCAGCCUCCUAGGGAGAAUAUUGGUGAUAUACGCCUGGGACUCCCGGACAACGGCUAACAGGUUUCGCGCAGUGAGCAGCGUCUCAUGAUGCCUCUUGGCGGUGGAAAUCUCAAAUAACUUGUUCAGCAGGGCGAACGACGCUUUUUCUACCCACUCGACUAUGCGACCCCUCUUGUCCGGACCUGCAUUAUCAAUGAACAAAGAUAUUAAGUCAAAUGAUAACCCUCUCAAGCAGUACAACAAAAUGAAUGCCGGACAAGACCCGCAACCUGACUUACCCGGAAGCACUAACGAACGGUUUGGGGAAAAUGGCCUCUCCGGAUGCUCCAGAAGACCAUCCCAAGCACCCCGGACCAACACAUGUCCCUUGGCUCCUCCCUUCGUUGAAUCCGGUAACUCAGUCACCAGUUGAAGGGAGGGCAGGUGGGCAGCCAUGCUAAAAAUAUCAUUCUUCCUCUUCUUGAGGGAGUAGACAAAAAGAACCUCCAGCAGCGAGAGGUCCAAGUUGAAAAGCAGGCUGAGAACGCUGCAUCCCAUUAGCACCCGGACUAUAUUGGGGUGGAUGUAGGCUGGUGGGAUCUGUGUGAAAUGAAGGAAUUCCUUGAACAGUGACGGGAACGGGAACCGGAGCCCAGCGUUGAACUGCUCCUUUGUAAAAAUGAUGGCAUUGUCUUCAGCUUUCUCAGUAGACACUGCCUCCUCAUCCAUCAGCUCCACGAGCACGCCAUUUGGGAUACAGAAACGUUCGCAGAAUUCCUUUGCACUCAGCUUAUCCACAGAUUUCUCAUGAGCAUCGCUGGACGAGCCAGAUGAGGUAGCUUCCUUAUUCGCAGACAUUUUUUAGCCUAGGGUUGAAAUGGAAUCUGCAUGAAAGAAGACCAACAGUCAAAAACAGCAAUCCAACCCCACAAAAUCUAACCCAAAGCAGAGUCAAUGGCCCACAAAAGACACAGGGGGGCAACAGAAAUCCUAAACACAGUCAAAACCCCCCAAAAAAGCCCUAGCAACCAAAAUACCAAACUUCCAGUCGCAAAGCAACUUGCCCAACAGCAAAACCACAAAAGCAAACACAACGAAGAAAAGCCAAAGGUAAGCGCACGUACCGAGUGUAAACUAGAAAAAUAGAGUUGAAACCGCACUGCAAUCACCGUCACAACGCGAACGUUGCCAGCAGAAAACCCUAGAGCUUCCCUCAAGAACGACGGUAUGCAGAAGGUAGAAGAGAAAGCACUAGCAGAAAAAACGCAGAAGGAAAAAUGCAAAAGGAAGGAACAGUCUGCUAUUUAUAGCGAGACAAGCCUCUCGGUAUUUUAAACGUUCAGCUGCACCAUUAUUCCAACCGACACGCUGCCUGGGAAUACCCAGAGUCGAAGGCUCAUCAUAAAUGUUUUUCUGUCUCUUCGCCCCCGCUCGCCACGUGGUCCAAUCAAGCAAAAAGUAACCUCAGUUUCAAAAGCACCAAUUAUUUUUUAACCCGCCCAUUUUGCUCAGGCAAAAUAGGCAAGUUAAAAAGGGGGCAUUGUAGGGACCCCUCCCCCUAAUGCCACGUGGCACACAUUCCCUGAUGACACGUGGCACGCAUUUCUAUCUGGAUCAGCUUCAUCCGGAUUUCCCCAAGAGUACACGUGGCGCGCUCUCUUAUCCGGACUCCCUCAAGGAGAGGCACACAACACUCACAAACAUAACAUCCGGACGACCGACAUAUCGCAUCCGGACGAUUGACAUAUACUAUCCGGAUAUGUUCAUCCGGAUCUUUGACUGAAGUGAGCAAAUCUUGCACGUCAUCACAACAGCCUGCCAUGGCCCACGUUCCGCCACUUGCAGAGUGAGAUGACAGGAAUGAAGUGAUGGCAAGUCACUUCCCACGAUCUCUGACAACUGCGGCGCCUCCCACGAUCUCUGUCAGCCGCCCUAUGAGUGAUGAUGGCCCUGCCACCACCUAGAGGCAUCAUGACAAGCCAAAAUAUCUCCCUACCAUUAAAGAGGGAAACAAAGCUCCUGAUACGAUAUAUAUAUGAACCUUCACACAAAGAGGAAGGUAAGCUUUCUAUACCUAGUAAAAGGCCAACUGAUUUAUCUCUCUGAACCAUGGCUAACAAAACCAUCGGAGGGUGCGUUCGGACACCCUAUCCGAACGUCUUUUGCAGGAACGACUGAACCAGGAAUCUAUAUUGGUUGAGAUCGUGCAUCCAUCCAUUUGGAAACUACGUGGAUCACUAGGGACGCGAGGCCUCAACAGUUACUGUUUUUGCAUUUGCUGGAUCUUGGCUUCCCGAUGAUUGGUGUGCGCAGCCACCUUUUGGAGAAACGAAGAUGGGUACUUGUAACUUUCCUUCGCUUAAAAGUUUAGGCGAUGACGGAGUCGCUCUGGUCAAUGGGUCGUUUCUCCAGCGAUUCAAUGCCAUCCAUUCAUCACUUGCCAAAAAGGUACUUCAAUUCAACUUAUGCAUAGAUAUAUGAAAAACAAUCUCCAGAAUUCAAAAUGUGGAUGUUGGGGUUGGAUUUUUCAGGUGAAAAAAGUAAUUGCAAAGAAGAAGCAAGUUGUUUUCACCGGCUACUCGUCGGGUGCUCCGGUGGCCAUCCUGGCAACUCUAUACCUCUUGGAGAAGUCAGAGCCCAAUCAGAGUCCACCCCACUGCGUCACUUUCGGAUCCCCCCUCAUCGGUGAUCGGAUCUUCGGUCAUGCUGUCAGGCGGGAGAAAUGGUCCGACCACUUCAUUCAUUUUGUUAUGAGAUACGAUGUGAUCCCUCGGAUUAUGCUUGGCCCUUCAUCCACUGAGCACAAAAAAAUUCUCGAUUUCUUCAAUCCCAGAUCUGAAUCCUUCAGAAAACACACUGAUUCUUCUUUAGGUUUAUAUUCCAGCGUGAUGAGGAAUGCAUCCAUGGUUGCAAACUAUGAUGCCUGCAAUUUCAUGGGAUGCAGAAUCCCGACGCUGGAAACUCUAAGGAACUUCAUUGAGCUCAGCCCUUAUAGACCUUUCGGAACUUACAUCUUCUACAGUGGAAGUGGAAAACUGGUUGUCGUAAGGAACCCGAAUGCAGUACUGCAGAUACUGUUUUACUGUGCUCAGUGGAGCCCAGAAGAAGAUGCAGAGGCUGCAAAAAAAAGGCCUAAAUGAACACUUGGCCUACCAAAAGGAACUACAAAAGAGCUUAGGAAAGCAAAAUGUAGUCUAUCUAGAUCAUCUAGAAGAGCUUCCGGUGUCUUCUGAUGGCAGUCCAGCCACAGUCAACACGACCUUGAAUGACCUCGGCCUGGUGAGCCUUCUUUUUUUCUUCUUACUGCCAAACUACAGAAUUUUAGCUUCCAUAUAUGUAUGUAAAUCUCAGCUGAUGUUCUAGUGUUUUGGAUUGCAGAGCACACAAGCCAUGCUAUGCCUUCAAGCUACAGGAGAGUUGGAGAAGCUAAAGUCAAGAAACCAGGAUAAGAUCAUUAAUGAUUAUAAGCAAAAGAUUGAAGGUGAAUUAAGAAAGCUGAGUAAGUACAAGGAAAAGGCCGAGACUUGCGGACUGGGCUACUAUGAUUCCUUCAAGCUCCAAGAAAAAGAAGAUGGCUUCCAGGCUAAUGUGAGCAGGCUUGUGCUAGCUGGUUACUGGGACGAGAUGAUGGAAAUGUUAAAAGCGUAUAAACUUCCGGAUGAAUUUGAGAAGAGCCAUGACUGUAUACGACUUGGAACAGAUUAUCGCCGCACGGUUGAGCCUCUAGAUAUUGCCAACUUUUAUCGACACGCCAAGGAUGAAGAGACAGGGUUCUACGUGAAAAAGGGGACUCGACCAAAACGAUAUCGAUACAUCCAAAAUUGGCUCGAGCAUGCUGAAAAGAAGCCAUCUGGAUCCCGCUCAGAAUCCUGUUUCUGGGCUGAGGUAGAGGACCUCCGCAUUAAAACUAGAAGCAACGGAUCCUCUCCAGAAAUUAAGCAGAAGGUUCUGCAACUGGGGCAAAAUCUAAUUAAAUGGAUUGAUGAUGAAUCUUUAGGCAAGGAUGUGUUGCUGGAGAAUUCCACCUUUGUUAAAUGGUGGAAACCCCUUCCUCCUGAGUAUAAAUCAGAACCCAAAUCAUCUCGCAUUAUGAAACUCAUCCAUGAGAAAGAUUGAGAGGGUUUCAUGCUGUUAUCUCGAGGCAUUUGUUCAAAGCCAAUAAACCCUGUAAAUAAGCUCUAGCUUUGACUGCUCUCUUGAUAACCGAAAUGUUCUUGAUAAGUCCAUUAUUUACUAGUAAGAUGGUUUUCUUCCUGAGUGUAUGCAAAAUCCUGUUUCCUAUAUUAAUACAUAACGAUCCAUUCUCAAUCGUGUAGAUAAUAUCACUGUGAUACCCCGGGUCUUAGGUCCCACUAUGUGAAAAUCAAGAAUGAAAAUGACUAGAUACCAAGAGGUAAUGCGCAUGAUUUUUUCAUACAAACAAACAAGUAGGUUGUACUUCAACACAGAUGAAGUUUGCGAUUUGAAGUUACAACUAUCUAAUAAUAAAGAUGAUGAGAAGGCAUAUUUCUUAAGAAAAUGGCCAUGAUAGCAUUUAGCAGAGGAUACUAAUACAGAAGAUUGAAAAUGGGCUGGUAAAUUAACGGACAGAUGAACGCUUGAUGUGCAUCCUUGGCCGAUCGAUAUGUAUAUGAAAUUAAAUGCUGUGACAAAGACCUAGUUAGCUCCACAAUGAAAAAAGAAGCCCUUGCCAUAUGACUACAGAGGCCCUGUCACAGACUCACAGUUCAACUACAACCAGUUCCUUCCUAGCUUUCAGAACUUUCCAUAUUUAAAAAAUAUUAAUUUUAUAUUUUAUAGUUGGUAGUUAAAUUCAUAAAAAUAAUAAUUAUAUUUUUCUAUAUUUAAAAUAAUAAUCAAUAAUUAUUUAAUAUUAAUAAUAUUUAAAUUUAUAAAGUGUGGAAUCAAGAAGUUUCUAGGAUAAUACUAAUAAAUGUUGGAUCCGCAUUUUUCACAUGCAUUCCCACUCAACGACGAAACUCAUAUUUAUUUAAGGUGAAAAACUGUAUUUUAUAAGAAACUGGAAUCGCUACUUAUUAUUAUUUUUUAAAAGGGAAAAUAAGGAAAGAUAGGUUUGUAAAAACUGAGUUAGAUUCGGAGGUCAAGUUACCUAUUGGGAAGAUACAGUGGCUAAUCGUAGCACCUUUCUAAGCAUUACAAGUCAGGUCUCUAUUAAUAAAACUAAGACAACUAUGACAAUUGGUUGAUCAAUUUAUGGAUACCUAGCAAGAGUCAAAAUAUACUACGACCAAAGCAUGUAUCAAAAGAUAAUCGAAUGAGUAAAGAAGGAAAGGAGUGUACCUGAGUAAUAAGUCAAAGUGUGCUUCUAUGGAAAACAAGGUUAAUAAAUAAUAUAAGUAUAAAAUAUCUCAUGUCAAUCACAAACAAAAUCAAUCAAUAUUAAUCAAGCAAAGCAAUUAGAGGAAGGAGUGUCAUGGAUGUUGGGCCCAUCAAGGCCCAAUUUAUUUUUACAUGAAUUAAUUCUAUAAAUUCCAUUAUUUUUGGAAUCAUAAAAUUUAUUUAUGCAUUAAAAAUAGAGAAAAUCAAGAAAAACUACAUAAAAAAAAAUGUGAAAUGUGCUUGCCGGGGGGAAAUAUGACAGCAAUGUUUAUAAAAAUCGGGAUUUUAGUGCCUAAAAUAGUCUAAAGAUGAACAUUUAAAAUUGGGUUUAUUUCAGUCGAAAAUAGUUUUGAAAAUUCAAUUUAAAAACCUGUAAAUUCUCACCAAGAUAGGAAAAACACACCAAGAGGAAGGAAGGAUGACUUAAGAAUGGUGCACCAAAGGUGGCAAUGGUGGAGUGGGGCUCGUGGGUAGGCAGGCAUGUGCAUUUCCAUAUCAGAAUCCCUGUGCUGCUGCUCAUUCUCCAGGAGUCUGUAAGUCGCUUCACCCCUAUUCCCAUGCAGCAGAAGAGUGCUUCAAUUGUCUGGUUUUGCAGCUCUCACCCUUGUGUUUACUCCAAUUCAAGAUUAUCCCCCUGCAUCCCAAUCUCUCUCUAUGCUGACUCAAGCCGAGCUUGCAGAAUCCCAGUCGCAGAAUCAUUCCUUUUGAGCUCACAAAAUUAACCUGGUAAUCUCUUCUUCCCAGAACUCUAGUUUUUUAUUGUACUCAGUGGUCUUCCUAAGCAAUUCCUCAUAGCUAGCAUCAGUUCCCACCUUUGGGAUGCAAUCUGCGCUCCAUUAGAGCCCCAUCUUCUCCCAUAGAACUCGCCCAGGUUACCAAAUUCAUUCCUGCCAUAGCUGAGUCCUCCAUUAGGCAGCAACAAAUACAACACUUUAAAUGGAUUAGUUUCCAGAUCAAAUUGGAGGACAUACAGAAUGCUGUCAUCUAUGGGCAGCUUUUCGAGUUCAAGAGAAUUUUAAUGGCCACGUGAUAAGGGAUCUUAGUGACAGUCAACAUUCAGCUAAGCAGAAAUCUGGAGAGGCUAUAGUAGUGAUCAGCAUUGUCGCCCAUCCGUACAUUCACCUUGACAAAAUUGUAUUUGGAGGAAACAUUCUGAAUGGAGAAUCAAAUGGUUGGGAGAGAGGAAUCAGAGAUGUCUUCUUCUGGGGUGUCAGGGUUUGGACAAGUUGUGUGAAGACUGCCAGGUACUGAGGAUACCAAGGCUGGGAACAAGAACUGGUCACAUGUACACGGAGAUGGCCAUGCAUGUGGAUUGCAUGCACAUGGGAAAGAUGGUGCAAUAGACUUCGCUAAAUUCAAGCUUCUUGGAUAGCUUGCAACUUCAUCCAGAUAAAAGAUGCUUUCUGCUUCACAUAGAUGUAACAAAAUUGAUGGGGAGAAGAGAGUUGACCACUUCAUCUCCAUUAACGUCACUCUCAAUAUCAGGAGGAAUUUCUUCUCUUGUUAACGAGGAAUCUGAUCUCUUCAAAGACUGUGGUGGCUCUGUUGAAGCCAUUCUUAAAUUGUACAAUGCUCAGACUCCUUCAAGUUGGUCACGGCCUCCAAUACUAGAUUCCCCAGCCUUACGAUGUACCCUCUUUGAACCAGUAAUCUGCUCAGGGUUGCCAGGGAAGGCAAGGGCCUUAGCAUCGACAGUUUGAUCAUCACUUUGAACUAUUGCGCUGAGAGGCGGAGAAUUCUCCUGGUUUAGGGCUUGUUGGCACCCUUCUGUGGGCCAAUCUAGACUCCUCUCUUGAGCCCCAUCCAUUUUCCAUCACAUUCAUGUUCCUUCAUUGCCCAUCAACAAUAAAUCUGUACUGAUAAAUACCCGAGGGGAGCAUUUUCAUAAUGGUGGACUAUUUCCUCAUCUCUGCAAGGGUUUUCUUAUCUUCCAAUUAUCCCAUAAUUCCUCCGCAGCUACUUCCUUGCUAUCAUAGCUCCAUGUAAUCAUAGUUGGAAUUCCUUGCUCACUGCACACCACCUGACCUUGGCCACUCAUUUCCAAGUCUCAAAACUCUGCCUUUCUCACCCUCUUUUACUACCUUUGAGGCUUUGCUGCAAAAGAUCAAAACUGUAGGCUACCUCAUGCAAUGGCACACACCACCCUUUCUCAGAUUCCCUUAUUAGCUUGUGGAGAAAUUUAUUAAAUUUCACAUCAAAGGCAAGAAAAUUGGAAGGGGACAAUGAACCGCAGAUGGAUGAGAGAAUAAUGGCCUUGUCGUUGCAUGUUCAUGAGCAGCAUGAACUGUAUCCUUCAUUUCAGGAACUGAGGCCCUAUGACCUCCAGACCUGAAGGCUCAAUGAAUAGUCAAAGAUUUGACUUCCUGUAGGCUUGCCACAUCCUGAACAGACCUGAAUUUUCUCUUCUUCCGGGCCUUUUCUCAGAAGGUGGUUCCUUAGCUGUCUUGUAUGUCAGAGGCAAAUUGAUGCCUUGGAUUAAAAGAGUCUGAUGACAGAGUACUAAGAUGCUCCUGAUUGAAACGGAACACUUUCAUAGCAGCAUAUUCAAACUACCACAGAAUUGAGCAUCAGGAUGAAUUAAGCCACUUUACUUCAUCAACUUUUUGCACUUUCCAACAGUGCAGGACCAUUUUCCUUGCCAUUGCUGAAAGACUGUUGAUGAGCGCAAUGAUCAUUGAAUUACUGGUGGAUUUUCAUUGUGGGAAACCUAAGCUGAUUAAGCAACAAACCCAAACUUUGACUAGCUUGAAUUGAUAGAUCUCCAACAUUGGAUACAGGAUGACCUCUUAGGAGCUAAAGAUAUAUUAAAUUCCACAAGCUUUCCUUCAGAGGGCUGAUCAAGAGGUGUAUCUAAACCUUAUUUGGCAUGACCAACAAGCUGUCACUUUCACACGCAUAUUCUAAGCAUCUUCCCAGAGGCUUAACAGAAAAGGGAUCUUCAGGUUUACAGAGGAGGGAAAGGAAACCCUGCUUUGCAUUCGGAAAAGUUUUGUUGCUGUUGACAUCUUCACCAUUCUGAGUACUUGGGACUGUUGGUGCAGGUGUGGAGCAACCAGAAAAGUUGUUACUCAGACCCAAUAUUCUCAAUAGCACUGCUUAAAUUUGCCAGGCUCGAGAACAAAAAUGAGAGGUAGCUAGUUCUUUUGAUGCUUCCCUGCUAAAUUUGCCAGGCUCGAGAAUAAAAAUGAGAGGUAGCUAGUUCUUUUGAUGCUUCCCUGCUUGAAUUUGGAGUAUUUGAACCGGCAACAACUCUAUCAAUCCCAAGGGUAGAGAUCAGCUUCUCAAUUAUAGUGACUUGUGACUCCCAGAUCAGUGGAGAUCCAUCUUCAUGACCAGAGAUUGACCAUGACUCCACCUCAUGAAUGAUGAAUUCCUAGAGCCUCAUCUGUUUGAUGAAGGUGAAGUUUGAUUAGUAGGAGUUUUGAGUACUAUUUGAUAGUCUCUCUUCAUGCUGUGGGGGGUUCACUACAGGUUGAUGAUCAUCAUGAGAUGAGCUCGACAUGCUCACUCCUUAUUGGAUUUAUACUCCGAUACUGAUGUAGCCUUCAAACUCCACAAAUAAGCUAUACUUGAACCGAAGACUAAGGAUGACUAAACCAUCACCUCCAUCCUAACUAUGCUGGCGUUCAAAUACUACAAAAUGAUAUUUCAAUGGUCCUGCUUUCAAACCGCAAUUCCACACCUGAAGACGUUUCUCACCGAACCAAAGGCAACGGUGGUAUUGGCAUUAUUGGACAUACAAAUGCUCUGCAUGGACCCCAAACCACCAUGGUACUUCAAUGUCAAGGCCCAUGGCCAUUUCUGUUGUCCAUGAAAAUAAUCUUGAAGGGCUAUACAACUUUUAGCAACUCUUUAAAGGAUGCAAUGUGUCUGGAAGAUUGAAUUGAAGAUGAAUGACAUUUGUAGAAUCAACAGAUGAGGUUGCAUUUCUAGAGCCUCUUUCUGGAGGCCUUUCUCCAAGAAUUUUUCCAUGGCUCUCUGUUGUCAUCUUCUGCACAAUAGGAGAUGAUUUCACAUCCUACAGCCACUUGCUCCUGUUAUUAUGCUUCUGUCACCCCUCUCACAGUUUUCUUGCAAGAUACAAAUAACUCUCUCCACUGGGGUCACGAAUCUGUGGCAAUGAGCCAAAACACAGCCCUCUCUUCUCAAGCGUAGAUCAGAACACAAAACCAAUUGUCCAUAGCAAAUCGAAAUAUGUGAGCCAGAAACAGGAUAUGGAUUGAGAUACUGGAAAUAGAGAAGUGAACAAAACAAGAUACAACAUACCCAGAACAAAAUAAACAAGUAAGCAAAACAUUAAAUGGGAUCCCUUUUCAUGUUGAAAUCAAUGGGUUCAUAGAGCAGUGGUGCAGUAGGAAAGUUCAACACAAAUAUCAAAAUGAGGUCAUCAACAAACUCCUACUGUAAGAGUGAGCCAUAUUCAGAUUAAAAAAUACGAAAGAAGAGCGGUACAACAUCACAUCCAUACCAAAAAUAAUAGAUUUUCUCUAAUUAUCUAAUUAGACAGCUCACGCCAACACUCCCCCUCAAGUUGGAGCCUAGAUAUCUCUUAUGCCCAACUUGUCAAGUGAGUUGUAGUAGUUCCUUGCAGACACUGCUUUUGUGAGUAUAUCAGCCAACUGGUCUUUUGAUUUAACAAAUGGAAGCUGAAUAAUCUUUUCUUCAAGGUUCUGUUUGAUGAAGUUUCGAUCCACCUCAACGUGCUUAGUGCGAUCAUGUUGGAUUGGAUUGUGGGAGAUAGCAAUGGCUGCCUUGUUAUCACAGAACAGGUUCAUUUCAUAGCUGAGAGCAACACCGAUCUCAACUAGCAGCUUUUUAAGCCAAAGAAGCUCACAUAUUCCUUUGACCAUUCCCCGAAAUUCAACUUCAGCACUAGACAAUGUAAUUACCUUUUGUUUCUUGCUCCUCCAUGUAACCAGGUUGCCUCCCACAAAAGUAAAGUACCCUGAAGUAAAUUUCCUAUCUGUGAUGUUCCCUACCUAGUGAGCAUCUGUGUAGCCAACAACAUUCAAAUGACCAUUCUUUGAGAACAUAAGUCCUUUCCCAAGAGAGGACUUCAAAUAACGAAGGAUCCGCAUUACGGAAUCCAUAUGGUCUUCACUCGGGCAAUGCAUGAACUGACUCACUACACUCACAGCAUAACCAAUAUCUAGUCGAGUAUGAGAUAAAUAGAUGAGUUUACCCACUAACCAUUGAUACCUCUAUUUGUCCGCUGGCACCUGGUCUACAUAUUCUCCAAGUUUAUGAUUCUGGACAAUUAGAAUAUCAACAGGCUUGCACCCUAGUAAUCCUACAUCUGCCAGCAAGUCUAGUAUAUAUUUCCUUUAGGAAAGAAAUAUGUCUUGUCUUGACCUUGCUACUUCAAUGCCUAAAAAAUACUUAAGCCCUCAUAAGUUUUUCAUUUCAAACUCAGUUGACAAUUGCUCUUGAAGCUUAGAGAUUUCUUCUACGUCAUCCCCUGUGAUGAUCAUGUCGUCUACAUAGACUAUGAGGGCUGUUAUUUUUCCCACUUGAUGUUUUAGGAAGAGUGUAUGAUCAGAAUUGCUUUGUUGAAAACCAUAUUUCCUCAUUGUCGAACUAAACCUGCCAAACCAUGCUCGAGGUGAUUGCUUUAGUCCAUACAAUGCCCGUUGUAAACUACAUGCGAUCUUUGCCUCUGAGGUAGCAGUAUAACCUGGUGGAAGAUCCAUGUAAAUUUCCUUUUCAAGAUCACCAUGGAGGAAGGCAUUUUUCACGUCCAGUUGGUGCAAUGGCCAAUCUAAGUUUGCUGCAAGAGAUAAUAGAACUCUAACAGUUUUUAGUUUGGCUACAGGUGAGAAAGUUUCCUGAUAAUCUAUACCAUAUUUCUGUGUACAACCCUUUGCUACCAACCUUGCCUUGUAUUGAUCAAUAGACCCAUCUGCUUUGUAUUUAAUAGAGAAAAUCCACUUGCACCCCACCGUCUUCCUUCUUUCAGGCAAUACACUCAAAACCCAUGUGUUAUUUUUCUGCAACACCUCCAAUUCCUCUUUUAUAGCUUGAGCCCAUUUCGAAUCUGAUAAAACUUCUUCAACACUACUCGGAAUUUGACAUGAGGAGAGUGUAUGUGCAAAUGCCCUAAGAGGUUCAGAUAAUCUUUGAGUGGACACAUAAUUGGCUAUUGGAUACUUGGAUCGUCGUUCUUCUAUGUCUGGGGAGUAUCAAUUUGGUGGCUUGCCUCGAUUGUGUCUGAAAGGUAGAACGUAACCCGUAGAUGUAUCUAUAGCAUUAGUUUGUAAAGGUGUGAUAGAAAAGCUUACCUCAGGGAUAUUCUCAGAAGGAUGGUCGUUGGGUACUAAAGAGUGAAGGGAUUCAUCAGAUUCUGCAUCUUCCGAUGAUUCAGGUACAAGUUCAACUUCAAUUCUUGGAGGUUCAACCAUGUCGUUGCCAUCAUUCGGAUGUGCUAGAUUGUCACCAACGUCCAGCAUUUCAACAUCCAACCAAUUUCUUUCUUCACCAUGGAUCUCUCCCUGAAGAGGAGAAUUGGAUACCAGUGAUGGGAAUUUUUUUUCAGAUUCUAGGAAGGUGACAUCCAUGGUGAUGUAGGUUCUUUUAGCAAUGGGAUCGUAGCAUUUUUUGUACUCCAUACCCCAAAAAUAGACACCAGACAGCACAUGGAUCCAACUUAGUUCAUUGAUUCUUAUGGAUGUGAACAAAAACAACACAACCAAAAAUUCGAGGAGGAAUCAUCAAAACAUUAGGUAAUGAGACAUGAUCGGAAAGCACCUUAACCAGAGUCUGAAAUUGUAAGACUUUGGUUGGCAUACGGUUCAGUAGAUGCACGGCUGUGGCAACAGCAUCACUCCAGUAUCUAUUCGGCACAUGUGCAUUGAUCAAUAGAGCACGGGUAGUUUCUAAGAUAUGUCUAUUCUUCCUUUCAGCAGUACCAUUCUGUUUGGGGUUUGAGAACAUGAGGUUCAUGGAGAAUACCAUGACUGUUGAAGUGUGUCUAGAAUUGUUGGUUAACAUACUCCCCUCCAUUGUUAGAACGAAGGAUCUUAAUUUUUGCAGAAAAUUGUGUUUGAACCAUGGUAUGAAAUGAUUGGAAAACAACAAAUACUUCAUCUUUGUGUUUUAGGAGGUAAAUUCAUAUCAUUCUUGUACAGUCAUCAACAAAAAUUGCAAACCAACGGUGACCAGAAGACGUAGUAACUGGGGAAGGUCCCCAUACAUCAGAAUGGAUUAAAUCAAAAGGAAUCAUACUUUUAUUCAUACUCAAGGGAUAAGAAGCUCUAUGACUUUUGGCUAAGAUACAAGUAUCGCAUUUAAAAUUUAAGUGUGAUACUUUGGAAAAUAAACCAGGUAGUAAGUGCUUCAAAUACCCAAAAGAUGGAUGCCCAAGUCGAUGGUGCCAUAACCAAAUAUGUCUUUUCUUGUUACUAACUGUGUGGUGCAUGUGAUUUGCUCUUCCCGAACUGAAGUCAUCAACGUAGUAUAAUCCCCCCCUCUUAGUACCACGCCCAAUUAUCUCCUUGGUAAGAAUAUCCUGAAGAAGGUAAAAAGUAUAAUACAUUACUACCACACAAUUAAGAUCCGUAGUAACUUGACUCACAGACAUCAGUCUAUUUGAAAGAGAAGGUACAAGUAAUGUAUUAGAUAAUGAAAGGGAAGGAGAUAACGUCACUGUUCCCACCCCUGUAAUCGGAUAAGCGACCCCAUUGGCAUUUUUAACACAACUCCGUCUCGAUUGAGUUGCAUUAGAAAAAUCAUUUGAAUAAAAUGUCAUGUGGUAUGUAGCACCAGAGUUGAGAAUCCAGUCAUCAUCAUUAUUGUGAGUAGAGAUAUGAAGUGUCUUACCAGAAGUACCAGAAGUACUUGGAUCAUGUGAAGAUUCUACUUGAGGGAUGAGGGAUAAUGAAGGAUCACAAGUAACCACGACAGCUCUCCCAGUGUGGUCAUCAUUAGCAAAGGUUUCACGUUUUUUUCGUGCUUGAAAGUCGUUCCACCAAUCUGGAUACCCAUGUAGUUUGAAGCAGGUGUCACGGGUAUGUUUGGAGUUGCCACAAUGUGUACACUUCAUGCCAUCAGAUGGUGGUUUGGUUUUGGAUUUUCCCCUGCUUAGAGAAAGAGCCCCUGGUUUCGGUGUUGUCUGGUAGUGACUUCCCUUGAUCCCUUUGGAUAUCAUAACUCCUCCAGGAGUGGUAUCUGUACCUGAGAUCAUCACAAUCUGCCUGACAUCUUCCUUACGAACAAAAGCGUAGGCCUGUUCCACUGUAGGGAAUGGUUUUAAUUGGAGCACAUCACUCCGAGUUUUAUCUAGUCUGUCAUCUAGUCCAUCAAGGAAAGUAUAAACCCGAUCUUCUUGUAGAAUCGAGUUGUAUUUCUGUAUGUCAAUAGCACACUCCAUCGGGUUAGGACGACGAAAAUCGAUUUCUUGCCACAACCCUUGAAGAUCGUUGUAGUAUUUUUCAAUGGAUCCACCCCCCUGCUUCAUACGAGUAACACGACGCCGGAGAUCAUAGACUUGAGAUGAUACUGUCCCAUCAAAAUAGGUUGUAGCAGCAGAAUCCCAAACCUGUUUUGUAGUUGGGAAGCGGAUAAAGUUGGCAAUCAAGGAAGGGUCCAUUGAAUUGAUCAACCAUCCCUUGACAAUGGCAUUUUCGGUUCGCCAUAUCCUGAGUGAAGGAUCGGUUUUUGGAGGUUGAGGGGAAUCUCCAUUAAUAUAUCCUAACUUGUCCUUGCCAGAGAUAUACAUCUCGACAACCUGGGACCAUAAGGCAUAGUUGGAUCCUUCCAACUUGAUACCGAUCGGAGCAGUUGAGGAAUCGGCAAGCAGAGGUUGAGGGGAAGUUUGGGCUCGAGUCAAGACUUCCGUCAUUUUUGUCGUCAGAUCGUUAAGGAUGGAGUUGGUAUGGGGAAUGAGAGAUUGUGUUAGGUCUCCGGAUUCCACCAUGGAUUCUAUUGGGUCUGGGUUCUUUCCUGGUCAAGCGACGCCGUAAAAUGACCACGUCGGCAAUGGCGCAAGCCUGUCAGUUGGAAAAUCCGUCGGGGUCGUCUCCGACGAACUCUGGAGAGGAUCUGGGGUCGACUUCGACUUCGUCUCCCAAGUCUGUGGAGACUACGACGAAGGUGCAGUUUGCUGGAAGGUUUUUUUCUUCUUUUUUUAUUUGAGUUGAAUACCAUCAUAUAUAGAUACAGAGCAAAGGAAUUUUAGGAACCUAUUCUAGCCUAUACACAGGUUGUGGUAGAAAUUGUAGAUCACGUUUGAAGUAUGGAAUUUACAUUAAUAGAUUUUCUCUAAUUAUCUAAUUAGACAGCUCACUCCAACAAAAACAAUUUAACAAUGCCUAGAAAAUUAGAAAUAACCAGAGAGAAUGAAAAAAAAAACAGAGUGAUAAGUGAAAAUGAGCAAAGAAGCUACAAAAAACGUACCUGAAAAUGCUCCCUCCAACGAGAAUAGUUGGGCUUCAAGCUGCUUUGUUUCUUCUUUCAAACCUCCAGAAAACCACAACAAAAUCAACUUCCCUUUCUCUCCCUUGCUCCUAAUCACCCUGCCUAGAAUCCUCUCUGCUCCCUGUUUUCUCUCUAACCCCCAAUUCCGAAGAAUCCCACCAUCACUCCAACCAACCUCUUAGCAAUUCCCCCUGUUUCCACUCUUUCCAUUUCUGUUUUUCCCCUGUCUCCACUCUCCCCCGACCCACACUCUCAGAUACUUUCCUGCUCAAGACUCCUACUUCUCUCUAAAAAAACGACCCGCCCAAAACUUUGCCACAUGUCGCUCUCACUGGCUCCCUUUUCUCUCUUAGUAAGUAACUCACCAAAAAGACAAAAAUUCACGCUCCACCAUUUUGCAGAUCCUCCUUGCCCACCUAGUUUGCCACGACUCCAAAAUAGAGCUUAAGUCCAAAAUAAUCUGUUGGUAGAAAAAAAUGGUAAGAAUAGUAGUCAUCUCAAAAUAUUUGUCAAAGUAGUAUUUUCUAUCCACGUAAUCAUUCAUGCGAGUUUUUUUAGUGUAAAAAACCACCGUUACUAACUGUGAUUUUAAAAGUUUCAGAAAUAUCUUUAAAACCACAGUCACAGAAUGUGGUUUUACAAUUUUCCUCGUUAGUAACUGUGGUUUCAUAAUAUUUUUAAACCGCCCCUGUUUCAAUGGUAUUAUGAUUUUAAUAUUAUUUUUUAAAAUAUUUUUUAUCAUAAUAACCAUAAAACCACAGUUAGUAACUGCAAUUUUAAAAAUAUUCUGAAAACCAUGAUCAGACCAUGGUUUUACAAUUUUCUUUAGAACCACAGUUACUAAUUGUGGUUUCACAAAUAUCUUUAAUGAGAACUCGUGUAACCAUACAUCAACUAAAAAAAUAUAUGGGAUUUUAGAACUUUGCUUUUUUCUUUUUAGUUUUAGUGUAAAAUGGGAAAAAAAUAUUGUUUAUUCAUGCAUUUCGAUAGUACUUUCAAAUCAUUUCACAAUUACCCUCAUAAGUGAUAUAAGAUUAUAAAACUUUGUUUUUUUAUUUUUAAUUUUAGUGUAAAUAGGAAAAAAUAUUGCUUAUUCAUGCAUUCCAAUACUGCUUUUAAAUUGAUUGUGAAUCUAUUUUUUUUUUUGGUUAAAAUCUUUAAUUUUUAAUUAAAAUAAAAUAUAUUUUUCAUUAAAAAAAAUGUAAUUAACCUUUUAUAUUAAUUUCAUAAAAAAUAGGUACACCCUUAAAAAAAAUAGGUAUAUUCAUGCUUAGGGGAACCGGAACCACUAUCAUACUUAUCAUGGUGUAUAUUCCUUUGGGACCCUCGAUAAGUAAUCAGAGGUCCUUGCCCACCCCAAAACAAACUUUGGAAUCCUAGGUAUAUCAUUUCUUAGAGGAACCAAGACCCCUAUUUCCAUUAUCAUGGUUCAUAUAUUCCUUUGGGGACCUUUGAGAAUGAAUUGGAGGUUGUUCCCCACCUUAGAAUGGACAUUGGAACCCAAGGAACAUCCUAAAGAUAAUUUGGUACAUCAUUUACAAAAAUUGGUACAUCUUUCACAAAAUUUGACACAUCCUUAAAACAAUGUGGUACAUCCAAUCCACGAGCCACCAAGACCUCUAUAUUAUUACCCAUGGUUCGUUUAUUUCUUUAGGGAUCUUUAGGAAGUAAUCAAAGGUCAUUCCCUACUCUGAAACUAACUUUGGAACCCUAGGUACAUCCUUAAGGAAAUUUGGUACAUCAUUAAGAAAAUUUGAUAUAUCUAAUCCUUGAACUAACGAGACACAUAUCUUUCUUCCCAUUGUCUAUUUAUUCUUUUAGACAACCUUAGGAAGUGAUUAGAGGUCGUUCCCCAAUUUGGAACAAACUUUGGCCCCCUUGGUACAUCCUUUACAAAAUUUGGUAAAUAUUUUAUAAAAUUUGGUACAUUCUUCACAAAAUUUGGUACAUCCUUAAAAAAAAUUGGUACAUCUAAUCCUUGAACUACUAGGACCCCUAUCUUAUUACCUAUGGUCUGUUUAUUUCUUUAAAUAUCUUUGGAAAGUAAUUGAAGGUCGUUCACUACUCCGAAAUGGACUUUGGAACCAUAGGUACAUCCUUGAGAAAAUUUGAUACAUCCAUUACUUGAACUAACAAGACACCUAUCUCUCUUUCCAUGGUUCAUUUCUUCCUUUAGAGACUCUCGGAAAGUGAUUAGAGGUCGUUCCCCACCUCGGAACUGACUUUGGCAACCUUGGUACAUCCUUUAUAAAAUUUGAUACAUCUUUUACAAAAUUUGAUACGUCCUUCACAAAAUUUGGUACAUCCUUCAAAUAAUUUGGUACAUCCAAUCCUUAAGUUACUAGGACCCCUAUCUUAUUACCCAUUGUCCAUUUAUUCCUUUAGGGAUCUUUGGAAAAUGAUUGAAGGUCGUUCCCUACUCCGAAAUGAACUUUGGAACCCUAGGUACAUCCUUGAAAAAAUUUGAUACAUCCAAUCCUUGAGCUAUUGGAAUCCCUAUCUUAUUACCCAUAGUCCAUUUAAUCCUGUAGGAAUCUUUGGGAAGCAAUUGGAUGCACCAAAAUUUCUUAACGAUGUACCAAAUUUCCUUAAGGAUGUACUUAGGGUUCCAAAGUUCGUUUCUGAGUAAGGAAAAUUUCUUACAAUUUUCCAUUGUCAGUUUUAAAUUAUUAUUUUUUUACAAAUCAUCCUUAACAAAUUUUUUUUUUACGACUGUUUUAAAAUUAUAUUUUUUUUUCAUAUUUUCCUUGAAAUUUUGAGAAAAUAAUUUUACCGACAUGCAUUCCCAUAAAAUUUUUAUAUAUUUAUGGUAAAUAAAAUAUUUAUUUGUUUUAUGAAUUUUAUCACAUAUGAAUUAAAGAAAAUUGUUUUUUCAUAUUAUUUUUAAAUUUUAAAGAAUAUUUUUUAUAAAGAAUAUUUCAAAAAUAAUAUUAUGAUAAAGAAUAUUUUUAAAAUAAUAUUAAAAUUACAAUACCAUUGAAACAGGGGGUGGUUUAAAAAUAUUUUUGAAACCACAGUUGCUAAUUGUGGUUUUAAAGAAAAUUGUAAAACCAUAGUAAUAGACUGUAGUUUUAAGGAUAUUUUUGAAAAUUUUGAAACUACAGUCAUCAACGAUGGUUUUUUACACUAAAAAAAAAACUCACGUGGAUGAUUACGUGGAUAGAAAAUACUACUUUGACAAAUAUUUUGAGAUGGGUACUAUUCUUACCAUUUUUUUUCUACAAACAGAUUAUUUUGGACUUAAACUCUCCAAAACAUGCUCCCGCAAAAAGAAAAUCUGAUUUUUUUUUUCUCCUAAAAGAAAGAUACCCAAAAACAUGCUAUUUCCCGCCAGCUACCCAUGAAAGGAUACAUCUCAAAAGAGCCCUCCCAAAAUGGGGGUCUAUAAUAUGUUAUAUCAUUUAAAAUUAAGGAUUAAUUGAUUAAAAAGAUGAAAACAUUCCAAAAUACCCUUCAACAUUUUCAUUAUUUACAUGUGUAUUUUAAAAGAAAUGGUUACUUUUACAAAAUAAAUAAAUAAAUAAAAAAUGAUGAGGGCAUUUUUAUCAAAAAUGAGUAUUUUUUAGAUUGAAAAAAUGUGAAGGGUUAAUUUUCCAAAAUGUCCCUAUCCUUAAAAUUAAUGCUCAUUGGCUUAUAAGGGACCUGACCUCAUCCAUUGAUCUAAGCUUAUUUUUGCCCCGUAUUUAACACCUGGUUUUUAAAAAGGUUAUUGUGGACCCGAUGUUUUCGCUUGAUGCAUUCCCACUCGAUGGUGAAACUCGUUUUUUUUAUUUUUUUUAUUUGUGAAAAUUUGAUUUUUAGAAAAAAAACUUGGAGUCGCCACUUAUUUUUGAAAGGAAAAAGCAAUAAUAAAAAAGAAAAACCCUAAAUGUGACUCUGAAGGAAAAAACAAGUCUACGAAAAACCGAGUCUGGGUUCAGGGGUCAGGUUACUUAUUGGGAAGGUAUAGUGGUGAGUCGUAACACCCCUCUAAGGCCGUAUACGUACGACCUCUACUAAAUGAAUUAAGGGAAUUAUGGCAAUUAACUAAUUAAUUAUGGAUACCAAGAAAAAUAAUCAUACAAAUGAAUCUGUACAAGUCAUGGUGAAAAUCAAUAUACACAAAAAUAAUAAUGAAAUCUAAUUACAAGAAUACACAAAAUAAAUGAUAAGAGAAUUAUGUAAAAUAAUUUAUUGAACUAAAUGAAAAAAAAUGGUAUUAAAAAAAAUGGCUUUCAAGAAAUUUCAAAAGGAUUUUAUUAAAAACAAUUUUGAAUGAGUGAUUUCAAUUUAUUUAUUUGCAAAAUAUUUUCUUCAAGUGAUUUGGUUCAAUUUCAUUUGUAUUUAAUUUUCAAAAAAAGGUUAUUUAUACUUAUUAUAUCAAAUAUAAUUUAUUACAAAAUUUCAAUUUGGCAACAAAAAUUACUUUACAAAAAAAAAAAAAAAAUUUUACAAGUUUGUUUGCAAAAGUAUUUCAAGUUUUUUCAUUUAAGAAGAGUGAUUUAUACAAAUUAUUUAAAAAUGCAUAACUUCAUGUGCAAAAAGAAUUUUAAUUAAAAAGAAAAAAAAUAUUUAAAUAAUCUAUUUCUAAAAAAAAUACUUUUAAUUCCAUUUUAAUUAAGGAAAAAGAAUUCAUUUAAAAAAACAUUUUUUGGACAAUUUUAUUAAAAAUAAAUUUUUGGGGCAACUUUAUUUACAAAAAAAAAUUUGGACAAUUUUUAUUAAAUAAAGAAAUUUUUGGACAAUUUUAUUAAAAACAAAUUUUCAAAUUCUAUAAAAAAAAAUUCUUUUGGAUUUUUAUAAAAGCAUUUUUCUGAAUUUUUAUAAAUAAAAAAAACUUUCUUUUGUUAAAAAAAAAUAUUUUAAAAUUAUUAUUUUAUUAAAAUAUAUUUAUUGAAUUCUUCCUCUCAUUUAAACAAAAUUUCUAGUUUGUUCGAUAUUCAAUUCUGUACACACUCAAUAAAUAUAUACAAGCAAAUAUCUACAAGAACUAAUAAAAAUAAAAUCAAAUAAAAGUGGAAAAUAAAAUAUGUACCCAAAUAAACUUAUAACAAAUUCAAUGUCUUCCUACGACUUUUUUAUUAUCACUUUCUUUCAUGAAAUUUUGUGUUCCACGUGUCAUAAAUUCAUACUCAACUAACAAGAUUGUAGAAUAAGUCAAUGCAAAAACAAAAAUAACUCAUAUGUAAAUAUCCAAAAAUAUGUAGGGUUCAAAUAAUAAUUCAAGCCCAAAUUCAAACUUUAAAUUAGCCCAAUAAAUUUUAACAAUUAAAAAUGUGUCCAAAUUAACAAAUAUAACCCAAUAAAAAUAUCUCACAUAUCAUAAACCCUAACAUAAAGUUUUCAAAUUAAUAGCCAAAACAUAAGCUCAAUUAAUCAAACCCAAUAAAUUAGGAUAAAUCUCAUUAGGCCUAAAUUUAAUAUUUCAUAAUCCAAACCUAAUUUAAUAUACACCACAAUUGUCUCAUGCCCAAAUUAAAUAGUUCAAAUUAGUCAAACUCAUAUAAAAUAUUAAAGUCAUCCAACAAAUCUCACCCACAUUAUGGGUCCAAAAUUCAUAUAAGUUAACAAGCCCACAUCAAUAAUAUACAUGGCCAAAUGAAAUAAUAUUUCAAGCCCAAACAAAUAACCAAUUAACAAUAGGAUCAAGUCCAAAUAAACAAUAUAUAAUUGAUAUAAUCCAAAUAUCUCAAAUUAAUCACCAAAUACAAUAUAACCACAAACCCAAAUUAAAAAAUUUUAAAUUAAUUCACCAAUAAUAAAUUAGCUCAAAUUUCAUAUUAAUUUACCAACAACAAGUUAACCAAAAUUUCAUAUUAAUUCAACAAUCCUAAUUUCACAAACAACAAUUACUAUUAAAAUCAAAUCAAGAAAAAUAAUAAUAAUAAUAAUAAUAAUAAUAAUGGAAAAUGAGUGGGAUGGGACAACAAGGGAAUGAGAGAAAAUGGGAGGGGGUCGCCGGCUGGUAGUGACUCGCCGGUGGCGACUACAAGGGGCUCACCGGCGGUAGUGAGAGAUUGGGUAUGGUGAGAGGGGAGUAGAAAAUAAUAAUAAUAAUAUAAUAAAAUAAAAUAAAAUAAAAAAGAAAUGAAAGAAAAGAAAAUAAGAAGAAAUCAAAAGAAGAGUGUUCGGAUGGAGAGAAAGGGAGGGAAAAUGUGGGAAAGAAAAAAAAAAUGGGGGCUAGUCACCGCAUUUAGGAGUUAGAAGAAAAAAAUGAAAAAAAUGAAGAGGGGAAAUGGGGAGGAUGAUUGAGAAAAAUAUAAUAUAAUAUAAUAAUAAUAAUAAUAACAAAUAAAAAUAAAAUAAUAAAAACUAAGAAUUAAAUGGUGAGUGGACCAAAAAACACAUGUAAUCGGGAUUUAAAAUUUAUUGACAAAAUUGAGCUCAAAAUUAAUGUAAAAAUAAAAUUAGAACAAAUUUUGGGGUCAUAGUUAUAUUUGAUUAAAAUGAUUAUUGAAAACUCAAUUUUAGAAAUUUAACAUUUCAUCAUUUUUUAUUAUCUCAUUUUAACAAAAAUGUUCUUAUUCUUUUCAUGUAAAAAUAACUUUUUAUUUUAAAACCUACAUGUAAACACUUGAAAUGAUAAAAAAACUAUUUACAUCAAAAGCGGGAUACUCUUCAAACAAAAAUACAAGAAGGUUUAAAUUCACAAAUAUGAGGAUUAUUUCACCAUUUUUAACUAAUUAAUUUUUUUUCAAAUUGGCAAAAUGUGAAGCUAGCACGAUUAACAUUAGUAAAGUAUCUAAUUGCUAAAGAGAAUGGUAGGAUUUAUUGACCUAACUCAAUUUAAUAUAUGUUAAAAUGGUGACAUUUUCUAAUUAUAGGCAUAAAAAAAUUAGGAGAAUGACAAAACUUAGUUAUUUUUCUCAAAAAUGACAUUAAAAAAAAAAAAAAAACAAGGUCCUAAUAUAGUCUUAUAAACUACAAAAGAAAGAAAUUUGAACUGUUGUACACCAAGGCCUAGCCUUGCAUGACAAAUAAAUUGGCAACAAAGGAUUAUGGUUUUGGAAAAAAUGAAAAGAAGGAAAGGAUAAAACAUGGAUUAUUUAUUUACUAAAAACCGGAGUCAAGAGGUGGAAGGAAAUCAUGUUUAUGAGAGUUAUCGCCAUGAUUGGACUUGAGCUUCUAGCACAUGAAGUAAAGAGCUGCUAGUGGUACCUAUUAAAUACGAAUAUGAUUGGUACAUUGUCGUUAUGUGGGUUGGUGUUAGAUAAUUUAUUAUUUAUUUAUAUUUAUAUUUAUAUAUAUUUUGGGUUUACUAAGCUUUGGACAGCCGUUGGGUGUUAAUCUCACACUUUUAAUAUUAGUAUGGAAAAUUUGAGCUUUCACACGACAAGGAAAGGUGGCAUUACAGCCAAGCAAUUUAAUUAUUAAUUAGUUACUGGAGUCGGAGCUUCCUAUAACUAAUUUUUAAAAAGAAAAAGUGGGAAAUGGCGCCUCCAACAGUCAAAAAAUGCCGUUUCAACCGGGGCUUAAAAAUGGGCCUCCCUCCGCUGUCAUUUCCACGCAACUCCAUUGCAACGACGGAGUAUUAUUCCAUCCCCAUAGACCACCAUCCAAGUCAACUAAAAGUCUAGAUCAAUUACUUGUUUUAGUCACCAGAAAUUACCAAUAAACCACUCACGGUCUUGUUAUAAACCAAGCUGCAGCGUCACCAGAAACUUCAAAUCACAAGAGAGAAAAUUUGCAUAGAGAGAAUAUGGGAGAAACACUUGAUCGUAUUGGAUUGAGCGGAGAAGUCAUUAAUGCAGCUGCUUCUCUAGCCAUGAAGGCUCACGAUUCCACUCGCGAGCCAUUUCUCCUCAAGAAACCCCGUGGCUUAUCCGUUGCUGUUGUUGCAUUUGCUGGAUCUUGGCUUCCCGAUGAUUGGUGUGCGGAGACACCUUUUGGAGAAACGACGAUAGAUGCUGGUACCUUUCCUUCGCUUAAAAGUUUAGGCGAUGACGGAGUCGCUCUGGUCAACGGGUCGUUUCUCCGGCGAUUCAAGGCAAUCUUAGGCCAAUCAUCACUUGCCGAAAAGGU
rnacentral:lncRNA from 1 species